GGGCCUACAUCAUUCUAACCGCACACCUUUUAAUCCAAGAAUGGAAAACUUAAUAGCACCAAGUCAUUGGUGCUAUUAAUAGUAUUCUAGCCUAGUUUUAUAUAUAUAUAUAGAGAGAGAGAGAGAGUUGGACUGGGCUACUAUUAGUAGCAAAAUCUCAUUGUUGCUACCAGUUUUUUAGCCUUUGGAUCAACUCUUUUCAUUAUUUCUAACCAUUGGAUUAAAUACUAUAACCCAGUGGGGACCACUCAACUCUAUGGGGACCACUCAACUCUAACCGACUAAUAUCAUCCUGACCUUAUAAUUUUUCAUCCAAAGAUUAAAAACUUGAUAACAAAAAGAACGUUUUACUAUUAAUAGUAUUCCAGCCUAAUUCUAUAUAUAUAUAUAUAUAGAUAUCCUUCUUUUGGGAUGAAUAAGUAAUAAAAUCAAGUUCAUGGGUUGUUUCCUCAUGUUUCUAGUGGGGCCAUAUAUAUGUACAUAUUAUACAUGGAUAAGCAAAAACCAAUAGGUAACCUACACUCAUGAACAUCAUGUGAAACAUCAAGGAAUUUAGAUGAGAAACUUCUUGAUCAAGUAGUGUUUGUCCAAAAGCAUAUAUAGCUCAUCACCAUCAAAGAGAAAAAAAAAAAAAAGGAGAAUAGUCCUUUACAAGGAGAAAGAGAAAAUUGACUCUAUAAAGAAGUGAGAUGCACAACAAAAAGAUGACAUAUAUACUAUUCUAAAGUUUGAGAGCAACUAACAUCGUCGACCCACACACAAUAGAUGCUUACUUGGAUGCUUAUACUUUAAGCUUCGGCUUAUUCUGAUGUCUAGCUAUUUGUUCCCCAAUAAUAUAAUGCGAGUUUGUCUCAGAACAUUUAUAUAUAGAGAGAGAGAGUCAGGUUAUUAUAUUCUUACGUAUUUGAAUUUUUUAUACUUAUAAGCUUUCGCUGUUAGAUCUAUCCAUUUAAUCAUUUUUAUUAGAUUAUACAAUUCAACGAACCACCCCCUCAACUCUAGAGGAUCACUAUCAUUCUGAUCGGAGACCACUAUCAUCCUAGCCGCACUCUUCAUCCAACGAUCGAAAAUUUAUGAAUACAAAGGUUUCUAUACUCAUAAAAAGUAAUAGUAGCGCUACUAUAUAUGAGUAGGCCCCUUCAUACUAAUAAGUUUUUUUUUUUAUAAUGGAACUUCUGAAUUGAUGAUCAAUACCGUUAAAUAUGAUCCAGAGUAUUUGAAAUUUAUAAAAAAUAAAUUUCAUAAUUUUUGAAAUUAUGUUAAAUUUUAUCAAGCGGGUAUAAAAUGAACGGUCGAAAUUGAACAACCUCUUAAAAAUAUAUGAUCGGAUUCUUUAAUUUAAGAUCGGAGCUAUUGAUCUUUAUUUAGAUAGUGAAUAAAAUUUUCUAUUAAAAAUUCAACCGAUUUGAUUCUUUUAUACGUUAAACUAGCAAGCAUCUCAUACCAGCCGCGCGUUAAAAAUUAUCAAUUUUAAGAUCUUUUAAUCUUAAGGUAAAUGAUGUCGAAAAGUUAUAAAAUUUGAUUCCUAAAAGUUUUAAAUGCUUUAAAUUAUAUUUAAAGGUAUGAAUUAUCGAUUCGGAAUCUUUAUUAUCGAAAACGACUUAUAAAUAUUGUCAUGCUCAUAAAAGUAUAGAAGCCGAACUUUAUAUAUAUGGCACUCAAAGAUACGUGUUGUUUACUAAUAGUGAGUAAGUCCUUAUAAUGAAAAGAAACAAAUACAAGUUCAACAUGUUGAAACUCAAUAUAGUAUUGGUGUUGAACAUGUCCAUCUAUGUACAUAUAAGUGUUGCGUGUUCUAUACUUCUAUUGCGAUACAUGAUGAAAGUUAAAGGCAAAGUAAGAUUAAUCGUGCAUGUCAUUUUCAUCAUGUUAAAGCUUCAGGAAAAUGUUUUAUAAUGAAAGAGGACGAAGAGGAGUGUUGGAGAAGUAAUUGUGGGGGUUUGAACUAAAUGGGUUUGGUCCACCACCUCCCUACUACAAUUUCCUAUUCCUUUAUGGAGAUUUGGCACGAAAUUAAGGGGAAAUUAGAUAUAAUAAUGCUAUUGCAAAGUGGAAGUAGAGAUUAAGAUUAAGCUACUUUUGUAUUAAGUAAGCUCAGCUAUUUAUGUUGUUGCGUGUAGAAUUUUCUUUCACCAAAAAAACAUGAUGUUAAAUAAUUAAAGUGACAUGCUUAAUUAUAUAUUUCGACUUUUCUAUUGCUAUGCAUUGAUUGUCUACAUGGUACUUGAUUAGUUGCUUACCCUUUAGAAUAGUUUUUCUUUUUCUUUUUUUUCUUUUUUUGAAAAAAAAUGAUAGCAUGCUUUUCCUUACAGAAUUUGUUAAUUAUUUUUUUUAGAAAUAAAAUAAGUUUGAAUUGUAAAGCAAUUAAUUAACUAAGUUUCAAACUUAAAAUCUCGUUUAUCAAUUAUAAAGUUCUUCGCCACCUGCGCUAGGGAUCGAUGGUCAGUACGUAAUAGCUUUUUUGUUAUAAAAAUUAAAACCGUGUGUACUCGACAAUAGAAACUCUUGUUAAAACUAUUUAACUAUUGUAGAAAUUACAGGGAGAAUUUUAAUUAGAAUAUAAUUUUACUAUUUUAAAUAUUUCUACUUAAACAAUCGUUUUAUAUAUAAAGAAAAAUUCAACUUUACAAAACAGGCUCUAAAUUAUUUGUUCAUCUCAAAUUAUUGAAUAAUUCAAUAUGCAUCCCCCUUUCUUUUUUUUUUUGUUCUCUUUUCCUUUCUGAAAAAAUUAGUAACUCAGUAAGGAUAAUAUAAUUCCUAAAGCAUACACAUAAGUAUUGAAUAUAAAAAUAUAAAAAUAUAAUUUUUGAUAAUAUAAACAGUUUUGGAUUUACUCGUUGCUAAAAAGAUAUGGUAUCAAAUAUAUAUAAAAAUAAAAGCCCGACAGAUUUAGGUUCCGACAUGAAUUUUAUGUGUACCUGAUUCGAACCUGAAUCCUAUUCAAACCCAAAUAAAUUUUAUAUUAUAUUAUAUGACAUAUAUAUAUAUAUAUAUAUAUAAUAUUAUAUCUAAAUUUAUAUUUUAAAAUUUAAUUUUUAUUAUAAUAUAUUUUAAAUUCGGUUUGGAUUUAGGUUUUAGAAUCGUGGUCAGAUUCAGGAUUUUUAAAAUCCGUAGAGUUCAGAUUUCAGAUUUGGUUCCCGGGUUCAAGUUCAAAAUUUUUUUAAAAAAAAUGCAUCUUGAAUCUGACGCGUUGACAUCCCUAUAUAUGUUAUUCAAGGGGGGCACUUUCCCUAUUUUGGGUUCUACUUUCCAAUCCAUGGAAGAUACACAAGGGAAAGUAAGUUAGUGCUUGAAAGAUGCCUCCACUUGUAGUAAAGUCCUAGGUAAGGUGGUGGAGAUGGUGGUUUCUUCUUUUUUUUCUUUUUUUUUUCUUUUUUUCAAUUGGAGAGUGAUUUUGAGUGCAUAUCUAAUUAAGCAUGAGACAUGCACUAUAAAGCAAAAUAAUAAUAAUAAUAAUAAUAAUAAAUAAAAGACCUAGGCCAAAAGGAAAUGUCCAAAGCUUGGUAAUCCAAUGGGUUCUACUAGGAAUAAUAAAUUAAGAAGAUAGAUAUGUGGGAAGGGAAUCCCAGGCAUAGUGAUGUGUUUCCAUGUCUUUGCUUUUGUCAAUAGUUGGGCAUCUUUCAUGGUGGGGGUGCUUGGCAUCUCUUUCUUGUGAUUUGUGAAUGUCAUCAAUAAUUAAAACAAUAUAAAAAAAAAAAAAGUACACCAAACUUGUAUGAUCAGCACUAGGGUACUAUCUUCACAUUUACAUUGUGCAAAUAAAUGCCAGGACUUGAAUGGACAGCUGAAAGAGAGAGAAAGAGAGAGAAAGAGAGAGAGUCUCAAUUAUAUUAUUAUUUAAAAAAACUUCAAUAAUUGUCACUUCUAUAAUUUUAUAUUUUUUUAGUUUAGUACCAUAUAGUUUAUAAUAUAUUAUUUUAGUAUUUUGUGAUUUCGUUCUUCUUCUUUUCGUUAUUUUCUAUAUUAAUUUUUUCGUUAAAUUAAUAAUAAAGUUAAAACUAUAGAGUACUCAACUGAAAAUUCGAUAAACAAUAGAAUAUAAAGUGAAUAUUUAAUAAAUUAUAUGGUACUUAUUUAAAUCUUUUUGUAUGUAAUUUACAAAGAGUUAACGAUGAUGCUGACAGAAAAAAAAAAAAAAAAAAAAAAAAAAAAAAAAACUACGAAAUACUAAAAUGAUACACUUUAAAUGCAGGAUGCUAAAUUGAGAAAACAUAAAAUCACAGUAUUUGAAAUUUAUUCUAUUAUUUAUUAAGCAAUAUCAUAGAAGGAUCAUGUGUGACCCGAAAAAAAGAAAAAAGUUAAUGGAAGUUGUGUUGCAAUAAAAUGUUGAAAAAAAUAAAAAGAAAAAUCCAAAUCUCGAAAUUAGAAACUUUUUUUUUAUGCUUAUGACUUUGCAAGAAAAGAACAAGUUAAGGAUAUAUAUAAUUGAGCUGACAUAUUUUUAAGAGUAUUAAUUUUUUAAUAUUUUUAUAUUAUAUUCUAUGAUAGAACAUCUAUAUUAAGGAUCGAUACUGUUAAACAAAAUAUACAUAUGUCUUAUGAACAUGAUGUUUUUAAUAUUUAUAUUCACUAUUGUUCUUAACGUCUGAGCUAGAAAUUUUUUGAUAGAUAAAAAAUAUGAACUUAAAUUAAAUUAAAAAAAAUUAAAUAAUGCCAAGAAUCGGACAAGACUCAAACUUAGACCGCCUACUUUAAUGUUUCUAAAAGUUUCUAAAGGUUUCUAAUGACACAAUAGCGAAAAAUUUUCCUAAAUCUAGAAAGACUUUAAAAGUUUCUAAAUAACGUGGUUGGACCAAGACCCCCCGCUUCCACCACAGAUUUUUUUUUUCUUUUUGCAAAUUAUUUUUCAAAAUUUCCUACGUUGCCAAACUAUCGGCAAAUCAGAAGCACAAAAUCAAACUCGAUAACAAUAUCCUUUUUUUUCUUUGUGUUUUUUUUCUUUUGUCUCAGUUGGAUUUUUCAGCUGCUUGUUGCCUACUUACCUUGGACCUUUGGCCUACUUUAUUUAGGUAAUGAAUGAAGCUAGUAGAUUACUAUCUUUUUAUUCGAGGAAAAAAAAAUUGUGUUGGUAGUCAAUUUAGAGGUGCAAUCGUCGAAAAAUGGUGUGAAAGUAUGAAAUAUUUGAUACUUUCACAAAUAUUCUAACUCAAUAUUUCUCUAGUACCUACUACUUAGACGGCAAUUGUGCAUUCAAUGACAAGAGAAAUACUAAAUCUACAAUCCAAAAUGGUUGUAAUCUUUAAAACUUUUAAUCUAAUAAUUUAAGAAUUUAAACAUCUCUUUUUGGCUUUUAGUUAAAAAUAAAAAAUGGAUAAGAUUCGUGUGUUAAUAACGGCCUUUAGAUGCCUAAGUUGUAAGUUUACAAUCCAAAUACGCCUGCCAACCUAGCAGUGGGGCUGGCAAUCCAACUUGCUGUUCGCGAACCAGCUCGUGGUAGCUCGAAAUAAACUCCAGAUCGAUCGCUCGUUUCAAUAAACGAGCUAAAUUUUUCAGCUUGAAAUCUUAACAAGCUGAACACGAGCUACGAUGAUCAACUCGCUCAUAUUCGGCUCGAAAUAGCUUACGUAUAGAUACUAUUCAGGUAAUAGGCAAAUCUAAAUAUAAAGAGAUCUACAUUUUGUAACUUUUAAUUAUUAGAUUGAGAUUCUAUUUUUUUUAAAAAAAAAAAUUCAACUUUUCAUUUAGUACUAAGGCUGACAAUCUAACUUGUCGUUCGUGAGCACGAGCUAUAUUUUUCAGCUCGAUAUUUUAACAAGUCAACCCAUGUUCGAUUCGUUUAAUAAACGAAGGAAUACAAGCCGGCCCCAGCUCGUUCGUGUUCAGCAGGUAGACAGCCCUACCUACACACUGCGGGCCAAAAUAUAGAAAAGAUUUUUCAGCUCGAUAUUUUAACAAGCCAUCCCAUGUUCGAUUCGUUUAAUAAACGAAGGAAUACAAGCCAGUCCCAGCUCGCUCGUGUCCAGCAGGUUGACAGCCCAGUCAUCCCAUGUUCGAUUCAUUUAAUAAACGAAGGAAUACAAGUCGGUCCCAGCUCGCUUGUGUUCAGCAGGUUGACAGCCCAGUCAUCCCAUGUUGGAUUCGUUUAAUAAAAGAAGGAAUACAAGCCAAUCCCAUCUUGCUCGUGUCCAGCAGGUUGACGGCCCAGUCAUCCCAUGUUCGAUUCAUUUAAUAAACGAAAGAAUACAAACCGGUCCCAAUUCGCUCAUGUUUAGCAGGUUGACAGCCCACUCAUCCCAUGUUGGAUUCAUUUAAUAAACGAAGGAAUACAAGCCGGUCCCAGUUCGCUCAUGUUCGGCAGGUUGACAGCCCAGUCAUCCCAUGUUCGAUUCGUUUAAUAAACGAAAUAAUACAAGCCGGUCCCAGCUCGCUCGUGUUCGGCAGGUCGACGGCCGUACCUACACCCUGCGGGCCAAAAUCUAGAAAAGAUUUUUCCAGAGGCCACCAUGUGGUUGAUCCUGGCUUCCGAGCAAGGGUUGGGCGGCUAAUUAAACGUACAGCGGGUGAAAUGGUGCGUGUCUCCAUCUUGCAUGGGGACAAACUAGUCGCAGCUGAAUUGAAGCACCUUACAGUAAUAUAGAUAAUGAUCACAUUUACAUGGACCCAGGCAUACCUGGAGAAGAGAUAAGAAACCGCUCCCUUUCAUUGCAAAAAUUCUAGUAGGUUUAUGUGCAGUUUGUCAACAAUUAGGUUUGGAAUAAGGAAAAUUGGGUCUGCGUCUAUCAUGGUCUCGAUUAGUUAAUUCACAGAUAAUUUUCAAAUUAUUCCUGCGCUCCGGUAACUUGCGAGUUCUGGCGGUAGCGUGAUCUCGACUUCGCGUAAAGAGUAGAAGAAAGUCGAGAUUAUUGGCGCCAGUACCAUGUCGCAAGCAGAAGGCGGCCCACUAAUUUGUACAUCUCUUUUUGUAUUUGCAACGACCCGACCCUCUAGCAAUAAUAAUUUGUUUGGCCCAAACCAUCGGCCCAAAAUUUAUUGUUACUAGCGUGUAGGCCUCAUAUAAACUGAUUGGAAUCAGUAUCCCAUCCGAUCUCAUCCGAUGUGGGACUAUUGAGGGUGUUACAGUAUUCAACAGCUUCGCUCACUAGCGCCAAGCGAAUAGUCCUAAAUGCCGAUUUUAGAAUACAGAUAAUAUUUUUACAACACAUUGACUCCCAUGGACUGAGUCUCCCUCCCUCUCUCUAGCCAUGCUCCCAUGGGCUUCCAAACUGGUCCCCAAAAGAGUUUUACAUCGAUUAUGAAAUUGAAAUGGACUUUACAUAGACCAAUUUCGGUGCAAAUACGCUUGAUUAUGUAAUUGAUUUAGACCUCGAUAAAUUGACUACUCAAUUGCCUGAUUAGUCGACAAGCUUUCGAGAUCAAUCUUUCUCAGCUAGCUCUAUUAGAAAUAUCUGAUAUGCAUUAAUUUUUUCUAACAUGAAAAUAAUUCGCUUUGGCAGAUCCCUACUUCUUUCUUUUUUGAGAGAUAGAUAGCACGCUACCUGCUUCGUUUAUUUCAUUUAGAAAUAAACUUAGCUGAAAAUGUGAAUCAACUAGGAUUCGAACUUAGACCUCGGAUACCAACCACCAAAUCCUUUGCCACUUGCUCUAAGGGACGGUCGGUGGCAGAUCCCUACUUUCACUCCAAAAGAACUAGGUUUUAUACAUGUCUAAAUCAUAACGCGCCUUGUUAUUAAUUUCUGUAAUCGUGCUCCAUCAACUACAUUUCGUUAGGGAAAAUUCUUAAAUUAGUGUUGGUUAGUAUGCAUCAACCAUCAUUUUUUUGAAAUUAAAGUUUGGUUGAUACAGCUAGCACUGUAAAAUAGUACAAAACAACUGUUGAAUGCGUGACUUGCUCUGACACUACAACAGAAUUAGAUUAUAGGGACACAUGUUUGGGACACUUUUGAGUAAGUGUCCCAUUUAUGCUAAAACUUAAAAAAACAUCUACUAAUGCCUAAAUAUAAAGCCCAAUACAAUCAAAAAUAAAAAAUUACUCUACUCAACGCACCACACCCAGUCCAUUUGGCCCGAUUACAAACAGAAAAGAAAAAAAAAAAAAGAAAAAUCAAUUACCAUCUUUUCUUCUCUCUUCACUCAAUCCACUGAAAUUCUAGACGAAGAGCCUUUCCUAUCGUUCUCCUCCGCCACCGCAGCCAACUAGAUAGAGUUUCGGCGGUUGCUAAAUGCUUAAAUAAGUGUUGGUAAAUUAGCAGCACUCUUUUAGGUUAUAGCGACACUCUUUAACUGUCAUUAUAUAUCUAGCGACCCCACAUAUAGCAACACUUUUUAAAAGUGUCGGUAAUUUUAGCUAGCAGCAUUUUUUUGACAUGUACCUACAUUUAAAAGUGUCGCUAUAGACCGUUUUUGUUGUAGUGUGAUACCACUUGUUGGAAGCGUGAUUUUCUCUGAUACCAUUUGUUGGAACUGGUAUUUAUGCUGAUACCGAUUAUAUAACAUAAAAUCUAAAAUAUAACAAAAUAAUAUGAAGAAGAGAUAUUGGAGAAGGAAGAAAAUAACUAAACUAAUAAGCAACUAAUUACAUUCUGCGCAACACCCAUGCAGACAUGUCUACUAUGGCUUAUUCUCUAAUUAACCAAUACCUAACUAUAUAUAGCCAUCAAAUCAUAACAGAUGAUAAAUCUAAUUUUACUUUUAAUAAUUACAUAUCGUAAUUAUAAUCAAAUAACAACAUUGUACCCUCUAUGGUUGUGAGCCUAAGAAAUGUAAUCACUUGAGGAGCGCAUACUCUAGAUACUUACUCACAUAACGUGAUACCACUCGUUGGAAGCGUGAUUUUCUCUGAUACUACUUGUUGGAACUGGUAUUUAAGCUGACACCGAUUAUAUAACAUAAAAUCUAAAAUAUAACAAAAUAAUAUAGAGAAGAGGUAUUGGAGAAGGAAGAAAAUAACUAAACUAAUAAGCAAUUAAUUACAUUCUGGGCAACACCCAUGAAGACAUGUCUACUAUAACUUAUUCUCUAAUUAACCCCUGCCUAAUUAUAUAUAACCAUCAAAUCAUAACAGAUGAUAAAUCCAAUUUUACUUCGGAUAAUUACAUAUCCUAAUCAUAAUCGAAUAACAACAUUGUACCCUAUGUGAUUGUGAGCCUAAGAAAUGUAAUCACUUGAGGAGUGCAUACUCUAGAUAUUUACUCACAUAAUUUUGGAGAAGAUAUUCAUCUUGUUAGUGUUAGGAAAAAAUAUCCUGGUGGUAGGGACAGCAACAUUAUGUGAUCUCUGUUGUUGUGAGACUGAGACUUAUAAUUAGAAGAAGAUUUUUAUCUCGUCAGUGCUAUGAAAAAUAAUCCUUACUGAUGCCAACCUAUGAAAAAGAGGAUGGCAAGAUUAACAAUAUUGUGUGCUCUGUGGCUGUGAACCUAAGAGAUAAAAUCGUUUGUUCUUGCGGUAGAUAUAUACUCAUAUCAUUAGAAAAAGAUUUUAUCGCGUUAGUCCCGCGAAAAAAAUAUCUUUUCUGGUGACAUCCUGUAACGAUCGAUCUGACUCCCCAGUAAUAAUAACUCGUUGUUGGUAUUGCUACGGCGGGACAGACGCAUCAUCUUAUAUAUUAAGAGAAGGGAUCACAAACACAUAAAUACGGAAUGUUAAUCGAAACUAUAAAGCAGUAGCGAAACAAAUUCAAAUAUACGCUUACUUCUAUCCAUCCUCACACGUCCUAAUAAGCUCUCACAGUCCUAUACCUUAAAAGUCUUUAGAGAUUUUAAACUUAUACUCUGAUACCAUUUCUCUAUUACGCUUCGAGUUCGGGGCGGGACACAUCCUACAAAAAAGAGGAUUGCGGGAACAACAACAGUAUAUCCUCUGUGGUCGUGAACCUGAGAUAUGUAAUCACUUGUUCUUGAGGUGUAUAUGCUCUAGAUAUAUACUCGCAUAAUUAGAAGAAGAUUUUCACAUUUUCAGUACUACGAAAAAAUUUCCUUACUAGUGAAAAUGUAUAAAAAGAGGAUAGAGGGGACGACAACACUAUAUCCUUUGUGGUUGUAACCCGAGACAUGUAAUCACUUGUUCUUGAGGUGUGCAUUCUCUAUAUAUAUUCACAUAAUUAGAAGAAGAUUUUUAUCUCCCUAGCGUUAUUGAAAAAUAUCCUUGCUAGUGACAACUUAGAAAAAAAGAGAAUGGCGGGGACAACAGCACCAUGUCCUAUAAGGUUGUAAUUACCUGAUAUGUAAUUAUUUGUUCUUGAGGUGUAAUACUCUAUAGAUAUAUACUCACAUGAUCAGAUGAAGAUUUUCAUCUCCUUAAUGCUAUGUGAAAUAUCCUUACUGGUGACAACCUACAAAAAAGAGGAUAGCGAGAAUAACAGCAGUACCAUACCACUACAGCAGAAUUAGAUUAUAGGGACAUAUUUUUGGAACACUUUUAUAUAAGUGUCACAUUUAUUCUAAAAUUUUUUUAAAAAAAUCUACUAAGACCUAAAUAUAAAGCUCAAUCCAACCAAAAAUAAAAAGUUCCUCCAUUCAGCCAACCACACCCAAUCCAUUCAACCCGAUUACAAAUAAAAAAAAAAAAAAAAGGAAAAAUUGAUCAGCAUCUCUCCUUCUCCUCCUCCACCGCCGUAGCCGACGAGGUAAAAUUCUGGCGGCUGGAGUUCGGCCGCGAGUAUCUAGCAAGAAUCAUAGAGGACUAUGAUCACCAUGUAUCCCUCCGCCAAAAGUCUCUGAAGGAGUGAGUGCCAAAUAUCAAAACGGCCCUACCUACAGCGACCCCACAUAUAGCAACAUUUUAAAAAAGGUCGGUAAUUUAGCCACCAGCACUUUUUUGAUCUGCACCGAUAUUUAAAAAUGUCGCUAUAUACCGUUUUUAUUGUAGUGUUAUAUAUGUAUCCUCCUUAUUUGUGAACCUAAGACAUAUAAAAUCACUUGUUCUUGAGAUGUGCAUAUUCUUAGAUAUACACUUAUAUGUGGAAGCUUUCCCUUUCGACCAACAGUAACAAGAGAAGAAGAAAGGGGUUGGCCUCACUCUCGGCCGCCUGGUGGACGGUCUAGCACGAAAAGAAUAAUGUCAUGUUUUUUUUUUUUUUUUUUUUUUUUUUUUUUUUUUUUUUUUUUUUGAGAUUAUCGCGCAAAUCUGAUGCAGAUCCCACACGGUAUAAGAAGAGUAAUAGAGACGUGGACGGAGAAUUGUAGUUAACUAUAACCUCACGCAUAUAUGUCUCUUUUGCAUUUUACUCUUCUUCCAUCUCCUUUUGCUUUUUUUGUUUUCUUUCUCUUCGCCCUCAUAUUUUCUUUUCCUCUUUUCCCUCCUAUUCUCAUUUUUUAUGUCUCCCUAAUUCUAAAAAGUUCAUUUUGUUCUGGUAAAUGAAGCAGAUAGUUUAUUACCUUUUUCUAUUAAAAAAUAAUAAUAAUGACUUCAACUAUGCUAUUUCGUUUAAAUCCACAAAUUGUAUUCUUUUUUUUUUCCAAUAAAUGGUCGCAAAAUAAUCCACCUUUUUUUUAAAUUUGUACCGGUUGAUUUUUUUACUUCGUACUCUAGCUUACUUAAUGGAUCAAAGAAUUUUGAGAAAACCAACUGUCUCUAGCGCAAAUGGUAAAAGAUUUCGUGGUUGGUAUCGAAAGUUCUAAUUAAGUUUACAAACUAGUUGUCUCACAUUUCUAAUUAAGUGGAUAGCAUGUUAUAUUUCUCUCAAAAAAAAAAAAAAAUUGAGAGAAUGGUAGUAUGAUACCUACUACGUCCAUUAACACUUUUUUUUUUUUGAGAGAGAUAGGUAGCACGCUAUCCGUUUCGUUUAUUUCAUUUAGAAAUAAACGAAGCUGAAAAUGUGAAUCAUGCAACUAGGAUUCGAGCUUGGGUAUCGGAUACCAACCAUCAAGCCCUUUGCCACUUGCUCUAGUGACGGCCGGUUACUACGUUCAUUAACUUAAUGAACUAAAAAUGUGAAGCAACUAAAUUUCGAAUUUAGGGUUUCGAAUACCAAUUAUCAAAUUCUUUGUCACUAGGACUAUUGAUUAUAAAUAUCAAGGAAUUAAUGUUAAUUCUAUUUUAGAAAAUAUUCCUUCAAAAAUUAGUUGUAACAUUUUGUAAUGAUGUAAUAUGCAUGAUUCCUUACUUUGAUGACUUUGUCCACUAAUUAAUACAAUUCUAAUUAAUUAAGUUGUUCAAUUACCUUAAGUAGUGGGAAACUAAUUAAUUAACCUCCUACCACGUCAGUUGGAGUUCGACCUUUCCAUGCCUUAUUUUGAAAGUUAGGUUACAAAAGUUGACCCAAAUUUAAUUACGUACGCGACUUGAUCUUAACAAUAGACCUGGCAAUCUUAACCCAAAUCUGCAGGUACCCACGGAUUACCCACAAAUUUAUGGAUAUGAGUACCAACUUUUCCAAUCCAAAAAAUUACGGGUAAAACGAAUAGGUACUCAUUAAGCAAUGAGCAUUUUGGGUAACCCGCAGGUACCCAUGGGUAUCCGCACAUAUAUCUUUUAGUUAUAAAAUAUAUUUUCUUAAUUAAUAUAUAUUUUUUAUUUACUCAUCCUAAAAAUUCUAAUACUAAUUUCUUAUUACGUGUCUUUUAUAUUAUAAAAUAUUUCUGUUUUAAGACUUUAAAUAUUUUUAUUAUAUGUUAUGGUAUUUUAAAUAAUGAGUUAUAUUACUUUUUUAAAACUUAUAUAUAUGUGUGUUUUGCAUUUAAAAAAUAUAAGAACAAAAAAAAAAUUGAGGGUAACCCGCAUACCCACCCGCUCACCCGUAGGCGGGUAUGGGUAAAGAUAUUAACUAUCUAAAAAUUUGCGGGUAAAUUUUAUCCAUGCCCAAGUAACCUGUGGAUACAAUAACCUAUCCGCGGAUUAUCCAACCCGCCCAUUUAUCAGGUCUAUUUAACAACAACAAUGUUUUAUUACUUAAUUAAUUAAACUAUCUAUAUGGUGGAACAAAAAAAAUGCAUGACUAAUUAAUCCAAUGGAUUAGUAUAAUAAUUGAAUUAUUCGUUGGUCGCCACUUGCGAUCGACCACUGUAAUUAACACGGUAAUUAAUUAAACAUGUUCUUGGAGACUUUGGACCAUAUCUAUGAAAAGGAAGCAUAUAUACAACUUUGAUUAUUAGUAAUAAUAAUAAAAUAAAAGGUUUAAACUUAAGGAUCUUCUUAUUCCUAAUUAAUUUAAUCAUGGAGACAAAGCAAAGUUAGGUUAGGUUACUAUCGGGUGGCCACAAACCAACAAAGUAUGUAAUUGAGUGUUACAACUAGAUGCUUAGAACAAGCAAUUAAUAGGCAAUAUCUUUGCAUCUAACUUUAUUAGAGAUUCGGAUAGGAUAUUAUAUUAGCGAUAAUUAACUUGUUUAAUUAAUGGUAACAAAAGAUGAUGAAAUGUGCUCAAACAUAUUAUAUUAGGGAUAAUAGCUAUAAUUAAAGGUUACAUUUGCUUGGUUUAGACUUUGGUAUAUAUAUAUAUAUAUAUAUAUAAUGCAAUCCCCACUUGGCCAAAUCAUAUGUAGCCACCAUAGGAAUUUUCUUUAAAAUGUGUGACACACUUUAUAAUAAGCUCUCUAGAACCGUUGAAUUAUUUAUGUAUAUAUUAUAUAGUUCCUUGUUUGAGAAUUGAUCCCAUUGGUAAGAGGCAUAUACUUUGCUAGCUAUGUAUAUCUCAAGGUGUUUUUGUGAUUCCUUUUCUUUUUUAGGAAAAAGUUGCACGACAUCUGUUUCAUUCAUUAUAAGAAUAAAUUAAGCUCCAAAAACGAGAUAAUAAAUCUAGGUCAAAUACAAAAAAAAAAAAAAAAUCAAACAAAUUAAGAAUUGUAUCAUUUAGUAGAGAGAAAUUCCACCCGCCGGGCCGCGAAUUGCGUAAUCUUAACGACAGCUGUCAGAGAGUCAGCAUUAGCCUUCCUAAAAAUAAUACUGUUUCCGGUAUUCCAUAUGACCAACCAAUAAGUUAUCAGAUCGGUCAAUCUAGUUCCAGUUGACUGUGAUCCAUUCCUUAUCAUCCACCAACUUAUUUCCGACGAAUAGUCUUACAUCGUCGCCCAGAUUUCUAGACUGAAUCCUCUCCAAAGCCAUCCCGGUCAGUCUAGUUCGAGUUGACUGUGAUCCAUUUCUUAUCAUCCAUCCAUCUAUUUCCAGCGAAUAAUCGUACAUCGUCUUUCAGAUUUCUCGAGUGAAUCCUCUCCAAAGUCAUCAAGAUCAAUCUAGUUCAAUAUGAUUUUUAGAUUGAAUAUAUUAAUAUUGUUAUAGCAUUUAUUGUUAUGAAUAUGAUGCUCAAAGAAAGUGGGGUAAGUGAUUGAAUUUUUGUUGGAAAUUAAUGAGAUUGUACCUGGAUGUCUCCCACAAAUUAAAUUAUUGCUUUGUUUGAGAGUUCAAAUGAGAUCUUAAGACUAUGACUGCAAAAAAUAAGUUUUGUACCUCCUUGAAUAUAACAUAAAUAAUAAAUAAUAUUUAUAAUACUUUUUUCUACAGCUCAAGCUUUUUGAAUAGCGUUUCGUUGAAAAUUAUAGGAAUUAGUCAUAAUAAUGAUGUGUCGGUGAGAUAUCAAAUUCUACUUUAUCUAUAGAAGUGCUAGCUAUGCUUGCGUAGGAUUAGAGGACUUUGUUUAUUAAUAAAAGAUAUUAAAGAUAUGUCCCUUCAUUAAUUAUAGGAUUAAUUUCAUAAGUGUCCUUCCGGCCACCCCUAAUUAUAUAAAAAAAUUUUCAAAAUUUGUCAAUAUCAAAAAUGACCCACAAAUUUAAUAGAAAAAACUUCAAAUACCACCUCUGUAGUUUCGCACUUUCUUACUUUAGUAUCAUGUGGUUUAAAGUGUAUUACUUUCGUUCCCUGUGGUUUUAUUUUUCUCUUUUUGUUUUCUUCUCCACUAAUUUUUUUCGUUAAAUUAGUGAUAAAAUUAAAAGUAAAUGAUACUAAAGUGAAUACUCGAUAAAUUAUGGAUGAGGUAUCUGAAGUUUUUGGUAUAUGAUUUAACGAAAAGUUAACGAAGAGACUGACGAAAAGAGAAAAAUAAAACCACACUGUACUAAAUUUAAACCACAGGGCGUUAAAGUGAGAAAUUGCGAAACCUCAGGGGUGAUAUUUGAAAUUUACCCAAUUUGAUAAAAUCAUCAAAUUAAACUACCUAUAUUACUAACAUUCUAUAUAAAAUAUGACUUAAUUAAUUCUAUAUUAGUUAAUUCCCUAACUUUUAAAUUGUUUUAAUAUACGAUCAGUGUAUGCAUUGCUAUUAGUACUUUUUUAGAAAAAAUUAGAUAAUAAUUUUUGUAUCUCUUCAUUUGGACUAAUUUAGGACGUUUUUAUCUUAUGUUAUGUAGUUAGUAUAUUUUUUUACUUUAUUUGUUUAGUUACAUUAAAUACGNUGGAAUCCUAAUGGAAUAAUGAUGGUGGGGGCUAAUUAGUUUUAUUUUUAGAUCUUUAUAUUAUUUUAGAUGUAGUUCUAUAGUUUUUUUAUUGGCUAAAUUAUUGAAAAUUUUUCUGUCAAUAUCUAAUUUUUCACUUUUUUUUUGUCAUUCAAAACCUACACUUUGUCUUUUUAAAAAAUAAAAAAUAUUCACUUUAGCCCCCACCAUCAUUAUUCCAUUAGGAUUCCAUUUAUAUCUUAUUUUUUAUAUCUAAAAUAUUUCUAAAAUCCUCAUCCAUACCCACACACAUGCUCUCGGCAUGCCGCCGCCUCACCCACUGCCGCCUCGCCCUCCCCCACCCCUCUGUCCAUGCCCAAACACACUCUCUCGCCCGCCUCCUCUGCCGGGAUGAGCAAGAUUGAAAAAAAGGAGAUGAAGAAGAUGAGGACAAUUUAGUCAUUUUGCCACACCGUACCCUUCUGUGAAUUUUCUUUAUUUUUUGAGAGAGUGAAAUAUAUAUUUUUUUAAUGAUAGGGGGGCAUGUGAAAAUGCAAGUUUUGACACGAAGGUUUUAUGUAAUUUAGCCUUUUAGUUUCUAUUUAUACUACUAAGUAUUUAUUUCAUAUCUUAUUUUCAUAGUCUACUUUGAUUACUUUUAAAUCUUUUGAAUAUUUUAGAUAUAGUUCGGUAGUUUUUUAUUUGAGCUUUGAUUUAUAUUACUAGACUUUUAUUUCAGAAUUGUACUUUUAUAAUUUACUUCGAUUUUCAUUUAUGUUAUUUUACCUUACCUAAAUUUUGAACUAUCCUACCAAACAUGUAUGUAGAGAGAGAAUUCGGCUACUAUAAUAUCGAUAGUAUCAAACUCUUAGUACGAUCGAGUUUUUUACUGUUGGAUCUAUCCAUUAAUUAUUUUUAUUUAUUGAAUUAUACUAUUCAACCAAUAAUUCACUCAACCCUAAAGAACCACUAUCAUCGUAACCGUAUAUUCUUUCAUUCAACGCCCGAAAACUCGAUAGUACUAAAUACUUGGUGCUAUUAUAGUACAAUAGCAUAAUUCUCAUCUCUCUCUCUCUCUCUCUCUCUCUCUAUAUAUAUAUAUAUAUAUUAAACAAAAGUUAUAUGAAAUAUAUAGAAAUAGGUCAUUUUGUAUUUUAGCUGUGUUAACGCAUAUAAAUUAAAAUAAUUGCAUUUGCAUGUAUAUUUUAUUGUUGGUCAUGCAUAUAUAUAUUAGAACUAGACUACUAUACUAUCGGUACCAAGUUGUUUUCGAUUAUACGGCUUCCAAAUAGACGAUCGGCUCCGUUAGUCUUGAUCUACACUAUUAAAAGUAUUUAGAAACUAAAGUUCAUAAUUUUUCGAUAUCAUUUACCUAUCAAACAAGUAAUCUAAAAUUAAACGGCUGAGAAUAAAAAUAUCAUAAAAAAUGAUGAUAAAAGAUUUAAAUUCAAUAUCAGAUUUACUGAUCUUACUCUAAAUAGUGAAAAGCAUUUUCUAUAAAAUUUUCAUCGCAUUUGAAUUGUUUUACACCGUUAAACUCACAAACACACCACAUCGGCCAUUAAAAUUGUCAAUUUUGAGAUCUUUUGAUCACUAGUCAAAUGAUGUUAAAAAAAUCUGAAAUUUAGUUUCCAAAUACUUUCAAUAAUGUAGAUCAAGUCUAAUGGAGCCAAUCAUUGAUUUGGAAGCCGCAUUAUCAAAAACAAUUUGGUAGCACAGAGCUCUCCAUGCUACCGAUAGUAUAGUAGCCGGACUCUAUGUAUUAUAUAUAUAUAUAUAUAUAUAUAUAUAGAGAGAGAGAGAGAGAGAGAGAGAGAGAGAGAGAGAGAGAGAGAGAGUUGGGCUAAAAUACUAUUAAUAGUAUUUGCCUCUUUGGGAGCGUUUGGUUCGCACUAUGAAAAAUUAUUAGUAGUAAAAAGAUGUUUGAGAAUUUAUUCUUAUUCAUUCUAUUACUAAAAAUGUAGUAUUUUGAUAUUUGGUUCGUACGGUCAUAUUAUUUAGUCAUGUUAUUUAAAAUUACCAAAAAUAUACAAUUAAUUAAUUAAGUAAUUUUAAAUAAUACUAUACAAAAUUUCAAACAUCUGUUUAGAAAAAAGAGAGAGAAUAUAGAUUAGAAAGAGAGAGCAUAAUUAAAGAAAUAGAAAGAGAAAUAGAGUCGAGAUUAGAGAGAACGAGAGAGUUGAGAUUUUAGAAAAAGAGGGGGAGAAAUAGCAAUUUCGAGAGAGAAAAAGAAUUGAAGUUUAACGAGAAAAAGAUAAAUUUAAAGAGAAAUAUGAGAUUAGAUUGUAAAGAAAACUAAUAUCAACUAGCCAGCGGGUGGGAAGAAAAAAUGAGAUUAGAUAUAUUAUAAUUACUCUAAUCCAUUAAUUAAUAUAAGAAUACCUACCCUCUCUGAAAGGAAUGAGAUUAGUAUUUUGGGAUGCAUCUCAUUCCCAAAUAAAUUCAGUAUUACCAACUAGAUUUCGUAGUGCGUUUAGCUAAACACCGUCAUAUUUUUUUAUUCCUAUUGGAUUACUAGAAAUCUUAAAAAGAUAGCGCGAACCAAACGCACCCUUUUUGUUAUCAAGUUUUUAGCUUUUAGAUCAAUUUCUUUGAUCAUUUCUAAUCAUUGGAUUAAAUAUUAUAACCCAGUGGGGACCACUCAAUCCUAAUAAGACCACUCAACCCUAGGGGUGCGUUUGGUUCGCACAAUGAAAGAUUACUAGGAGUAAAAAGAUUUUCGAGAAUCUUAUUCCUAUUAAUCCUAUUACUAAGAAAGUAAUAUUUCGACAUUUGGUUCGCAGGGUCAUAUUAUUUAGUCAUACUAUUUAAGAUUAGGAAAAAUAUACAAUUAGCUAAUUUAUUUUUUUAAUUAAUUUAAAUAAUACUAUAAAAAAUUUCAACAUCUUUUUAGAAAAAAAAGAGAGUAUAAUUAAAGAAAUAGGAAAAGAAAUAAAGUCGAGAUUAGAGAAAAUGAGAAGGUUAAGAUUUUAGAAAAAGAGGGGGAGAAAUAGCAUAGUUUAGAGAGAGAAAAAGAGUUGAAGUUUAGAGAGAAAAAGAUAAGUUUAGAGAGAGAUAUGAGAUUAGAGUGUAAAGAAAAAUAAUAUCAACUAGCUGGCGGGUGAGAAGAAAGAAAGAGAUUAGACAUAUUAUAAUUAGGCCAAUUUGCAUAAAAAAUCCACUUAUUUUGGGCUUUUGCAAAAUCGGGCCACCUUUUUCGUUUUUGCAGAUUCGGUCCACUUUUUCAGCAAACUGACCAAAAUACCCUUUUUACUUUUUCUCUUUCCUCUUUCUCUCUCCUCUUCGUUUCUCUCGUUCUUUUUUUUUUCUCGCCGGCAGAGCGGAGGCGGAAACGGUCCGUCUCGCCUCUCACCCUCAUUCUCUAGCCCUCGCCCUCGCCCUCGCCCUUGCCCUCGUCCACGCACCCCCCACCUUCCUCGCCUCCAACCCCGCCAAGGCCGCGCUACGACUUUUUUUUUUUUUGCUUUUUUCUUUUCUUUUCUUCUCCGACUCUUCUCCACCGUCUCUGACGACGAUGCCUCUCUCGUCCUUCUCGUCCUUCCCCGCCCUUCUCAUCUCUCCCUCUCCCUCAUUCUCUGCCGCCUCCGACGACGAUGCAUCUUCGCCGGCGCCGACGUCGACACCGUGGAGGUCACUGCGGCGCUACAGGCUCGGAGCGGGGGUCCUUAGCGGUGUCGUCGCCGGCACCGUGGCUGUUGGCAGAGAAGGUGACAAAAAAGAAUUAUAGAAAAAACAGAAAAAAAAAAAUAAAGAUAAAAAUUAUAUAAAAAGAAGGAUGAACAUCAAAUUGUAUCGUUACCUGUAAAAAAAAUUAUAAGUUGUACUAUUUAAUAUGUAAACUGCAGCUUUAAGAUGAAAACUACACUCUUUAAACGAAAAUUACACUCUUUGAGAAAUAUUUACACUGUUUCUUUUUUUAUUACACUCUUUCAGAUGUAAACUGCACCCAUUAAGAUGAAAGUUACACUCUUUAAACAAAAGUUGCACUGUUUUUCCUCUUGUUGCACCAUUUUUUCUCUUAUUACACUAUUUUUUAUCUUAAACUGCACCCUUUUAAGAGAUAUUUAUAUUGUUUCUCUUCUUGUUGCACCAUUUCUGUAUAAAUAAGAGGAGAAAUAGUGCAACAAGAGGAGAAACAGUGCAAGAAGAGAAGAAACUGCACUGUUUUAAGAGAUAUAUAUACUGUUUCUCCUCUUGUUGCACCAUUUCUGUGUAAACAAGAGGAGAAAUAGUGCAACAAGAGGAGAAACUGCACUGUUUUAAGAGAUAUAUCUACUGUUUCUUCUCUUGUUGCACUGUUUCUCCUCUUGUUGCACCAUUUCUGUGUAAAUAAGAGGAGAAAUAGUGCAACAACAGGAGAAACAGUGCAACAAGAGGAGAAACAGUAUAAAUAUCACUUAAAAGGAUGCAGUUUAAGAUAAAAAAUAGUAUAAUUUUCGUUCAAAGAGUAUAAUUUUUAUCUUAAAGCAGCAGUUUACAUCUUAAAUAGUGCAACUUAUAAUUUUUUUUGUAAUUAACGAUGUAAUUUCAUCUUCAUCCUUCUUUUUAUAUAAUUUUUUAUCUUUAUUUUUUUUUUUUUUUUUCUAUAAUUUUUUUUGUCACCUUCUCUGCCAACAGCUACGGCGCCGGUGACGACGCCGCUAAGGACCCCCCGCUCCGAGGCUGUAGCGCCGCAGUGACCUCUACGGUGUCGACGUCGGCGCCGGCGAAGAUAAAUCGUCGUCGGAGGCGGCAGAAAAUGAGGGAGAGGGAGAGAUGAGAAGGGCGGGGAAGGGCGAGAGGCGUCGUCGUCGGAGACGGUGGAGAAGAGUCGGAGAAGAAAAGAAAAGAAAAAAGCAAAAAAAAAAAAUCGCGGCGCGGCCUUAACGGGGUCGGAGGCGAGGAAGGUGGGGGUGCAUGGACGAGGGCAAGGGCGAGGGCGAGAGCAUGAGGGUGAGAGGCGAGACGGACCGUUUCUGCCUCCGCUCCGCCUCCGCUCUACCGGCGAGAAAAAAAAAAAAAAAGCGAGAGAAACGAAGAAGAGAGAGAAAGAGGAAAGAGAAAAAAUAAUAAGGGUAUUUUGGUCAGUUUGCUGAAAAAGCGGACCGAAUCUGCAAAAAUGAAAAAAGUGGCCCGAUUUUGCAAAAGCCCAAAAUAAGUGGAUUUUUUAUGCAAAUUGGCCUUAUAAUUACUCCGAUCCAUUAAUAUAAGGAUACCCACCCUCUCUCAAAGGAAUAAGAUUAGUACUUUGGGAUGCAUCUCAUUUCCAAUUGUAAAUUCAAUAUUACCAACUAGAUUACUUAAUGCUUUUAGCCAAACACCGCCAUAUUUUUUUAUUCCUAUUGGAUUACUAGGAAUCUUAAAAGAUAGCGCAAAACAAACGCACCCUAAAAGAUUAAUAUCAUUCUAAUCCUAUAAUUUCUCAACCAAAAAUUAAAAAUUUGAUAGCAAAAAAAAUCAAAUAUUAUCAAUAAUAUUCCAGCUCAACAUAUAUGUAUAUUAAUGGACGUAACAUUUCAUGCUAAUUUUAGAGUUUUUAAGUGAUAAUUCUAUAUGCUAGCUAGUUUUAGACCUUUUAAGUGACAAUUCGAUAUGCUAGCUAGUUAUAUAAUAGUGUAUAUACCCACCACUUUUGAAUAUAUUUUUUAAGUUAGCUAGAAAUGUAUGUUGUGUUCCACGUCUAAUAGAGUGCCACUUCAUAGCUAUUUAAAUAUUUACAGCAAAACCGCAAUCGUGGCGCCAUCUUAAUUAUCCGUGUUUUAAAAUCCAAAACUGUUCAAUAACUAAAAGAUAUUGCCAGAUCACGAAAUCGCUAGCACAAAUAAUAGAUUGAAUGACCUUAGCAUAACAUUACAAAUAUUUAAUUUUUAUCUUUAUAUAAUAAAAAAUAUUAUUAGUAUAGUAGUUUACAUUAUUUUUAGAUAUUAUUAUGUUAGAUAUAAUUAAGAAUUUGUAUCUUACGUAGGGAUUGUCAAAACAAAAUAGCGCACAUUUUAAAUUACUUAUUGAAUUAUAUAAUAAAGAUUUGCCUAGCUCUUAUAUAUAAAGUCAAGCCGGUUGAUCACCAGUUCACUAAUUCAUUCAUCGGUUAAAAUUAACCUGUCGAUGUGAAUUCCUACAAAGUUUAGAUUUUCAAAUUUAUUUCUCUAAAAAUCCUAACGGUUUUAAAUAUAUCCCUACUGUUAAUGUCCGUAAGAAAAAAUAUAGUUAAUCAUAGGUAAAGUAGUUAACUUUGGUUAGUGAGUGAGGUAAAUUGAUCUUUUAAUUAACCCCUUUGAUAUUAUACAUUCUUCUCUGAAUCAAAACUCGAGCAAUUAAUGAGAACUCUUUUUCUUCUUCCUCUCUUCUUCGUGCUAGUUUUGAAUCCGUAGCUAGGGUUUCUCUGUCUCUAUUCAUCCAUGACGCUUGUUGUUUCGCCCCAUGCAUGUCAAGCACUGGGGAAUCUGUAUUAGAUAGGUAAAGAAGAAAAGGAAUGAGAGAAGAAGUAGAUAAGAUGUUACAACAAUAAUGGAUUGGGUUAGUUUAUAUAGAGAAAGAAGAUGACAAUUGAAAAUUUUUUAGAAGGAUAUUUCUGUACGAUUCUAACAGUAGGAGCUUUUGAAUGGAUAUACUUAUAAUGAAAAAAAGACAUUUCACUUAUAUUCUGUUAAAAAAUAAAAAGUGAGCUAACAGCAACAAACCAGAAAGGCAAAUAUAAAUAUCGCUGGACUUUUGAAGGGAUAAAUCUAAAAACUUGAACUUUGUAGGAUAUAUGUGUCAUUCGAUAUAUUUACAGAGAGAUGUAUGAAACUAUUCGUUUAAUACUUUAUUGGAUGUCCAAUUACCAAGACAAUUUCGUUCUAAAUUGGUGAUUAUCAAAUAUAAUCAAAUUUAGUAACCAACCAUAUGAUUCCAAUUAGUGACUUUCCAAAUAUUCAAAUAGAUUUGAAAUUAGGAAUAAAUCAAAGCCAACAUUAAGUGAUUUAAUUGUCAAAUCCAUGGAAUUUAGUGGUGCCAUUCAUAUAAGGUCAAAAGGCUACUACUAUAUCUUUAAUUUGAUUUGUCCCAUUGUUUACAUUUUGUAAAUGAUAAACACAUGGGAGCACAUACUCAAAAAGUCCCAUACAACUAUACAAGAUAUUUUUACGAUAAUCUAUAUGUUUGUACUAGUGAACGGCCUGCACGAUGGUAUAGAUAUAAAAUAUUUUAAAAAUAAAUCUUAAUUAAUAUUUUAUAUUUUUUAUAUUACUUUAUUAUUCUAAUUAUUAAUUAAAUAAAUAUAAAUAAAAAAUAAUUUAAUAAUUAAAUAAUUUACAUAAAAAUAUUUUAAAUUGGUUUAUACACGACAUAAAUUUUUAUAGAAUUUAUUAGUAAUUAAAUUAUAAAAGCACAUUACAACAAAAUUAGGUUAUAGGGACACAUGUUGGAACACUUUUGUGUAUGUAUCUCAUUUAUGUCAAAACUUUUAAAAAAAUCUACUAAUAUCUAAAUAUAAAGCCCAAUCCGAUCAAAAAUAAAAGGUUACUCUAUUCAACCCAUCCCACCCACUGAAAUCGAUUACCAUCUCCCUUUCUCCCCUCACUCAAUCCACUGAAAUCUUAGGCGAAGAGCUCUUCCCUCUCUUCCUCUUCCGCCACCGCAGCCAACGAGAUAGAGUUCCGACGUUUGCUAAAUGCUUAAAUAAGUGUUGGUAAAUUAGCAAUACUCUUUUUAGAUUAUACCGAUACUCUUUAACUGUCACUACUAUAUACCCAACGAUCCCACAUAUAGCAACACUUUUUAAAAGUGUCGAUAAUUUAUCCAGCAGCAUUUUUUUGACCUAUACCAAUAUUUAAAAGUGUCGCUAUACACCGUUUUUAUUGUAGUGGCAUAUGUAAAAAAAUAAUUAGAAAAAAUAUUAAAAUAUUUUUAAAAAUUUAUAUAAAUUAAUAAUUUAGUAAAUUUAAUCGAUAUAUAUUAACGGGUUAUUUAAUUUUAUUUCGUGGAAAAUAAUCAUAAUUAUUAAAUUUGGUCAAACUUUGGAUAAACUUUAAUAAAAAUUUUGUUUAACUAACUAAAAUUAAUCAUAAAAAAUUAAAAAAUAUAUAAUUGAGGAGUAGAUUGGGGGCAAAAGUUACUCAUGCACUGGAUAUAUACUUAUAUUUUAUACACUGCAUUACUAAAUUUCUCUAGUUGAAAUCUAAACUCUGUAAUAUUUCGUAUAUAGGCUAUUUAUAUGUUAUUAGAUUAUAUCUAUUAAAUUAAUUUUAGUUUUAAAAUAUUAAUGAUUAAAACAUAGGUUUGUUGCAUGUUAUAUUUUAAUAGGCUAGGUGCAUGCAAUAUAUAUUUCUGAGGUUGAGGUUAGGGAUAUCAAUGGAUACGUAUAUUCGAAAUUUUAUCUAAAUCUAAUCGAAUCGAAUGGAGCGGAUUUUUUUUAUACUAAAUGGAUAUAGUUUCAAAUAUGAGUAUAAAAAAUGAAACCCGAUAGAUUUGGAACCUUAUAUCCAAAUGUAUUUGAAAUUAGGGAUAUAUCAAAGCCAACAUUAAUUGAUUUAAUUGUCAAAUCCAUGGAAUUUAGGGUUGCAAUUCAUAUAGGAUCAAAAGGCUACUAAUAUAACUUUAAUUUGAUUAGUCCAAUUGAUUACAUUUUGUAGAUGAUAAACACAUGGGAGCACAUAUUUGAACCACCCGCAAGAAGCUAUAGAUAUAAAAUAUUUUAGUAAUAAAUUUUAAAUAAUAUUUUAUAUAUUUAUAUUACUCUAUUAUCCUAAUUAUUAAUUAAAUAAAUUUAAAUAAAAAUAAUUUGAUCAUUUAAAUAAUUUAUAUAAAAAUAAUUUAAAUUGGUUUACCCAUAGUGAAUUCACGAAUUAUUGGCGAAUUAUUGAAAAUCCGAAUAAAACGUUCCGUAUGUGAUUUAUUCCUAAAAAUUCAAAAUAAAAUAUGAAUUUUUCGGUUAGAUUUAUUAUUCACGAAUAAUUCGCAUAUGCCGAACUAUUCGGCCAAAAACAACAAGUAAAAUUUUUGGAUAAAAUUCAUUUCCGAAUUAUUACCGAAUUAUUCGCGAAUUAUUAAAAAUCUUCAUAAACUUCGAGAAUACAUGGAUCAUGAAAAAAUUAAGAUUGUGAUGACAAAAAAAAAUUGUUAUUCCUUUUUUUACUUAAUCUAUUUUAUUUUGUAAAUCUCUAUUUUUAUAUUAUUAAGAAUUUAUAACUAUAUAUGCUAGUAGCAUAAAUUUAGAGAAAAAAAGUUUAGUUUAAUAGCCGAAUUUUUUAUCUCGAAUUUUUAAUUGGUGAACGUAUAAUUUUCGUAUUAAUCGCGUAUCCGAAUAAUUGGCGAAUCCAUUUUUUAAGCGUAUUUUUCAAAGAAUUUAAAGAUUGCGAUAUAAAUUUUAUUCGAUUUAUACCCAAACUGAACUUUUUGCCAAAUCCAAAUUAUGGCCAAUUUGCAUAAAAAUAUACAAGUUUUAAGCUUUUAAAAAAAUAGCCCGCAUUUUAGGAUUUUAUAUAUUCGGACCGAAUUUUUAAAAAAUUGAUCAAAAUAUUCUUAUUCCCUUUUCUCUCUCCUCUUUUGUUUUUCUUUAAUUCUUAAUUUUUCACUCUCCCAAAAGGGCGGCGGAGGCGGAGGCGGCCCCUGCCUUUUUCGCCUCGGACUCCGCCAAGGCCGCCCCGUGACCCUUUUUUUGUUCUUUCCGACUCUCCUCCAUCGCCUCCCCGACUCUUUACAAUAAUUAAGAGAAUAACGCUGCAUCCUCUUUCUCUCCUUUUGUUUCUCUCAUUUUUUUUUUUCCCUUCGGCCCUCCACCGCCGCCGCGACCCUCCACGACGAUAACGAAAACAGCACCGCAUCCUCUUACUCCGACUUCACCUGCAUAGGCACCGACACCGACGCUGAGAAAGAAGAACUCGAAGCGAACGCGGAUGAGAGCAAAGCCAAAAAAAAAUAUAGAAAAUAAAUAAAAUAAAACAAAUAAAGUAUAAAAUAUAAAAUAAUAAUAAUAAUUUUUUCUAAAAGAAAAUUUAAAAAAUCAGGGAGAAAAGAUGAAAAUAAUAAAGAUACAUUGUUUGAGAAAAAAGUUGCACUGUUUUAAAAAAAUUACACUUUUCUGAAUAAAAGUUACACUCUUCGAGCAAAACUUACACUCUUUGGGUUAGGGCGGCACCGCCUCUUCCACGUCCGCCUCCGCUGGCACCGAAGAAGGAGAAGGAGAACUCGAAGCAGCGAGCACCUGCUCGACAAUGACCUCGUCGCUUCUAUCCGCUUCUCGCUCAUCCAGGUUCGCUUCAAGUUCUCAUUCUCCAACACCGACGGAGGCAGAGGCGGAGCCAAAGGAGGCGGCGCCGCUCUCGUUAUCGUCGCCGAGGAUCGCCGGCGUCGGCGGAGAAGAAGAUAAAGGAAGAGAAUAUGGGGCCGCCCAUCUUACUGUCGUCGACGGCCAUGGAGGUGGUGGAGGAGGCAAUGAGGGUCGAAGAGAAUGAAAAAAAGUUACCAAAAAAAAAAUCAGAGAGAAAAAAAAAAAAGAUGAUGAAGUUACACUAUUUCAAAGGAACAUUGCACUGUUUUAUAAAAAAACUUACACUAUUUGAGAGAAAAAUUAAACUUUUCUGAAUAAAAGUUACACUAUUUGAACAAAAAUUACACUUUUAAAAUAAAAAUUAUAUUAUUUCUCUUCUUCUUCCUCAUCCUUCCUAUUUGUUUUCCUACGGAGGAAUAGAAAUAGUAUAAUUUUCGCCCAAAAUGUACAAGUUUCGUUAAAAACGUAACUUUCGUUUAGAAAAGUGUAACUUUUCUUUAAAACAAUAAAACGUUCCUCUGAAACGGUCCAUCUUCAUCAUCUUUUUUUUUUCUCUCUGAUUUUUUUUUAUAGAAAAAAUUAUUUUUUUAUAUUUUAUAUUUUAUUUCUUUUAUUUUAUUUAUUUUUAUAUUUUUUUUCUUAGCGCAGCUCUCAUCCGCACUCACUCCGAGUCCUUCUUUUUCGGCGCUGGUGUUGGUACUUGCGCCGGCGAAGGCAGAGUAAGAAUACCCAAGACUGUUUUCGUUACUAUCGCAGAAGGUCGUGGAGUUCGUUACUGUCGCAGAAGGUCGUGGAGGUGAUUAAGAGGGGUCGCAGAGAAAAAAAAAAAAAAAAAAAAAAAAAAAAAAAGUGGGUCACAGCACGGCCUAGUCAAGGUCGGAGGCGAGAAAGAUGGGGGUGUGCGGGCGAGGGUUAGGGUGCGCUGGACAAAGGCGAGGCAAGCCGCCUUCGCCUCCGCUGCCCUCUUGGGAGAAAAAGUAAAAAAGAACGAGAGGAAAAAAUUAAAAAAUAAAUAAAUAAAUAAAUAAAUAAAAAGGAGAAGAGAGAAAAGGCAACAAGAAUAUUUUAAUCAGUUUUCUAAAAAUGCGGCCCGAAUUAGCAAAAUCUAAAAACAAGGUCUACUUUUACAAAAGCUCAAAACUAAUGGAUUUUUUAUGCAAAGCCCGGGGGCGGGCUUUUGUAAAACCAGGGAGGCGGGUGCCGGGCGGAGCGGAUGGCGGAGGAAAAAAAUGGCGAAGGAAAAAAAAAUGAAGAAAGAGAAAAGAAGAGAGAGAAAGAAAAACAAUAAGGAUAUUUUCGUCCGAUGCUAAAAAAUUCAGUCCGAAUCUGUAAAAAUGAAAAAGUUUUGCAAAAGUCCAAAACUAGUAAAUUUUUUAUGCAAAUUGGUCUUUUAUAUUUGAAUUUGUGUUUUAAAACUUUAGAUUUUAUGUAAUAUAUUUUGAAAUAUGUUAAAGAAAAAUAAUUUAUUCGGUUUCGGAUUUUCAGACUCUUAUCCAGAUUUUGAAUAUUUAGUCAGAUUCGGAUUUACAUAUAAAUUUUUUCAAUCCGUCAGACUUGGGUUUGAAUUCAGGCUUUGAAUUUGGCAUCGAGUUCAGGUUCGGAUUCGGAUUUGAAUGUUUUAAAAAUUUCGUUUGAAAUCCGAUCCGUCGACAUAACUAUUAAACUAGUUGAGGUGGGAGAGUUGGGAGGACACGUUUCGUAUUUUUAUCUCACGCAGUAAGAGGACGUGUGCAAUUUUUGUCUUACACAGUUGGGUGGAUACGUGUCGCAUUUUUUAUCUUUUGAUAUGAUCCAACUCUAAUUUAAUACAGUAGUAAUAGAUUAUUCAUGAGAGUGCGUUGUAAAAUUUUACUUCAAAUUAGAUCACUUCUGUGAUUUUACGUUUUCUCACUUUAAUAUCCUGUAGUUUAAACCAUAUCAAUUUAGUACAUUAUAAUUUUAUUUUUAUUUUUUAUUAUUAAUUUCACUAAUUUUUUUUUAUUAAUCAGUGACAAAAUUAAAACUUAAGGAUACUAAAGUAAAUAUUCGAUAAAUCUGAAUGGAAUAUCCACUACAACAAAAACGGUCUAUAGCGACACUUUUAAAUGUAGGUACAUGUCAAAAAAGUGCUGCUAGCUAAAAUUACCGACACUUUUAAAAAGUGUUGCUAUAUGUGGGGUCGCUAGAUAUAUAGUGACAGUUAAAGAGUGUCGCUAUAACCUAAAAGAGUGCUGCUAAUUUACCAACACUUAUUUAAGCAUUUAGCAACCGCCGAAACUCUAUCUCGUUGGCUGCGGUGGCAGAAGAGGACGACGGGAAAGGCUCUUCGUCUAGAAUUUCAGUGGAUUGAGUCAAGAGAGAAGAAAAAAUGGUAAUUGAUUUUUCUUUUUUUUUCUUUUCUGUUUGUAAUCGGGCUAAAUGGACUCGGUGUGGUGGGUUGAGUAGAAUAAUUUUUUAUUUUGAUUGGGCUUUAUAUUUAGGCAUUAUUAGAUUUUUUUUUUAAGUUUUAGCAUAAAUGAGAUACUUACUCAAAAGUAUCCCAAACAUGUGUCCCUAUAACCUAAUUCUAUUGUAGUGAUCUGAAAUUUUUUAUAUAUAAUUUAAGAAAAUAUUAAUGAAAAAACUAACGAAAAGAUAAAAACGAAACGAUAGGAUACUAACUUGAUACACUCUAAACUUUAUAAUACUAAAGUGAGAAAGUACGAAAUAAUAGGAGUAGUAUUUAAAGCUUACCCUAUAUAAUAUCAACCAUAAUAGGUCAAACAACAUUUCAACAAAUAAAUAAAUAAAUAAUAAAUAAGGGUUACACAACAUUGUUGGUGUUAAAUUUAUCCCGGGAAUCGAGCGGCUUCUUAAUCUCAUUAUUAUGAUCCUUUAGUACUAAAAAUUCAUUCAUUUCCAAUAAUAUAAUAAACAAAUAAUAUAAUUAAUAAUAUUAUUAUUAUUUUUAAUAAAUAAAAAUUAUUAAAAAUGUUAUUAUAAAUCUUGUAACAAUAAAUAGCUCAAAAAUAUGCUUAACAUUAUCGCCAUAGCAUAAAUUAUUAAAAUAAAAUUUAAAUUUUUAAUAUAAUUAAAUUAAUAUAGUAGAAUGAAAUAAUUAUAGUGAUUAGCACAUCAAUCAAUAUUUUGCAAUCUUUUCCGUUUGCAGAUAAUACUGUUUGGCGCUAACCAUUAAUCCCAAAAACUCGAGCUGCUAGAAAAUACGCAACCAAUACACUUAAAGCGUACAGAUACAGCGCUCACGGGUCUCAAUUAUGACUCGGCCCACCCAGUCUCACGCCACAGGGCCUCCAGCACCUGCAUACAUUUGCCAGACAGGGCAGGAUGCUGGCCCUUAAAACUUUUAAGUCAACAAUCCCCCCUCCAGCACCUGGACAUAUUUGCAGUAUACGAGAAUCGAACUCGUGAUCUCUAGUUCUGAUACCACUUGUCAGAUCGUUGGCACUAACCAUUACUUACAAAAGCUCGCGCGGUUAGAAAAUACGCAACUAAUUCACUUAAAGCGUACGGAUACAGCACCCACGGAUCUCAAUUGUGAUUCGGCCCACCCAGCCUCAUGCCACUUCGAACAUAACUUGGGCCACACAGCCUCACACCAUUUGAACAUGACUCGGCGCAACAUAGGCUUCCGCCACAGGGCAGGAUGCUGGCCCAUUUAAGUCAACACAUAUUAUUCAACCAUACACCCACUCAAUCCUAAAAUAUCACUAUCAUUCUAACCGCACAUCACUUUAUCCAACGGCCAAAAAUUUAUAAGUAUAAAAGAUUUACACUGAUAAAAGAGUAUAAUAGCCCUAGCCACACUAUUUAACAUAUUUAUUUAUUAAAGAGUGUGUUGAUGCCAAAUUAGAAUUAGGCGGGAACGAUUGUGAAGUGGGAUGUAAUUUCCACGAUCAGGACUACACCACUCCCUCCACUACUGAAAACCGACCAAUAAUGUAGGCUAAGAAGACAUCACUACAAAUAGUAAUUUCAAAGCUUACAAUCGGGGUCUUUCUUCUCCUGAACGAGAAAACCACCGCAUUUUCAAUACUUUCCUUUCUUACAUUUAUCGUUUUCUAGGAGUAGUCUACAUGUAAUCUUCUCUUUUUUCGCAUUUACCGUCUUUCUUAGGAGUAGUUUUUAAGUUAGAUCUCUAGAGUCUAUAUGCCCCACGGGCACACUCUUUUGUACCAGUUUUCGACUUCAGUUUAAUAUAUAAGGGCAUUCGGCUCUUCAGCCGACCCAAAUCUCAGUGUUUUCCGUACAUUCGGCUCUUUCAGUCGAACCGAUUCCACAGUAGAGACUUUUGAACUCGGCUGAUCCGAUCCCUCAUCAGCCGAAUCAUUUGAUCAGUCGAAGGGCGCAAACUUCGAAGGUCAUUAAUCGUAACCGUUUCUCAUCCCUGCACUCUUCCCGAGAAAGAUCUUUGAUCAGGUUAAAAAAAAGGAAAGAAUUAUUACAUAGUGGGAAUUAUUACAUAGUGGGCUCCUAACAGAGUGUUUGCACAAAAAUGUUAUACAUUCAAUUAUUUGUAUAGCGCAAUAUAAGAUAAACCAUUCAUAUGUAUGUAUCACAAAAAGAUACACCAGAAAAAUAAUUGACAAAAUAUUAAAGUAUUAAACGAUAGAUGCGAAAAUUAUACAUUUAGGAGUCGUUUGGUUGCAGGUAAUUAUAAAUACAGUAUAAUUAAAAAUAUGUAUAUUUAAUAUUGCAUUUGUUAUGAUUAUAUAUAGUUUGUUUGGUUGUACGAGGUUGAAAAGUAUAUUUACAAAAUCUAUACUGAAACGUAAUUGGAGUAUAUCAAUGGGUGUAUAGUGAGUUAUUUCCUAUCCAACAAAUAGAAGUGCAAAGGGGCCUACAAAUUUGUUUAUUGCAAAUUGAGUAUACCGUGGGGGGUUUUCUGAAACAUUUUGGUAAAAUUAUUUAAGUUACAUGGGCUAUCUUUUUAAUUUUUCUAAAAUUAAUUUUUUUUUGUCGUCUAGGUUACAUUCCCUACUUAGUUGUGGGUUUAGCAUUUCUAAUUUUUAUUUAAGUUUUCAAUUUAUUUUUUGCAAUCAAGUCCCUACCCUUUAUUAGUCAUUUUAACUCAGUCCUUUCAUUAAAGAUGUUGUUAGUGCCACGCAAACCCAAGAUAACAACAAAUUCUUGGGACAUUGUAAUUAUUUUAUAUUUUUUUACUUACAAUGGUAAUUUUGUUACAGGAUAAUUAAUCAUACCAUUGGGUUAAAAAAAAGGGACAAUUGCAUACACGUCCCUGUAAACAUGAUGAUUUGUAGAUAUGUUCCUACAAAACUUAAUAUUCAUAAGUUAUUUCUGCAAAAAUUCUAAUGUAUUCAGAUAUGUCCCUGCCAUUUGGAUCCAUUAGAGAAAUUUUGUUAAUCACAGUUAAAAUACUUAAUCAUAAUUAAUUAAUAAUGUGAAUUAAUAAUUUUGCCCUUCUUCUUCUUUCUUUCUCUCUUCCUCUUCCUCUCCUGCUUCUUCUUCUUCCUCUUCUUCUCCAUAUCCUCCUUUUCCUCCUCCUUUUUUACUCCUUCUUUAUCGUCGUCAUCAAUGAUCCGAUCGUCAUCGCCGUCAUGGUGCCUGCGUGGGCCGUCGUCACGGGCGUCUCCGACGGCAGCGGCAGCCGCGCCUUCGCCUUCCGCCUCUUCUUUGUUCUCGUUGGCAGCAACCCCGACAAGCUCCGUCGCCGCCGUCGCCGUGCGCUCCCGCAGCCUGAAGAGAAAGAGGAAGAGGAAGAGGAAGAGGGCAAGAGCAAAAUUGUCACUUCACAACUCUACUGUUAAAAAAUUAACAGCUCUCUAACGAAUCCUAACCAGAGGGAUAUAUCUGAAUACAUUAAGACUUUUGUAGAGAUAACUUAUGAAAGUUGAGCUUUGAAGGAAUAUAUCUGUAAUUCACCAUAUUUGUAGGGACGUAUAUGCAAUUAACCCUAAAAAAAAAUUAAAAUUCUGCAUAUUUUUAUUAAUCGAUUACUCAUAUUUUAUCAAUUCUUGAUAUAAUAAAACCUUAUAAUUUAUAAUAUAAUAAUUAUAUAAAUAUAGUAUAUAUAUAUAUAUAUAUAUAUAUAUAUAUUCAUUGCGAACCUAUGAUAAUUUAAAAUUUUCACUAACAUUACAAAUUAAAUCAUAAGGAUAAGAAUUUAAGUACCGUAGUACGAGGUCGUGCCAAAGAUUUAUCGACAUGGUAUAGCACGAUGCGUGGCCGAUCGUGGCGAGGCGAGGCGUGUCGGUCUAAAAAAAAUCAUAUGUGCCGACACAUAAUAGUAUGAAAUAUUUAUUUUUUUAGCAAUAAAAUAUUAUAACUGUUUAUUAUUUUUUUUAAUUUUAUUGAGAAAAUCACUUACUAAUUUAAAGAAUAGAGGGUUUUGAGCUGUGCUAUCGGCACGGAAUCUGUAUCGUGCCGAUAUUUUGUCUGUAUAAUAUUGCACGAUAGAUACGGUCUGUGCCGAUGGGUACUUAAAUACUUGAUAAAUGGUGAAACGAAGGACCGAUUAAAGUUAAUAGUAAAUUUUAAGGACGAAUACUUAAAAUUAGGGAAGUUAUUUGUCGGAACGAAAAAGGUCAGGGACCAAAAUGUAAACGUGGUGAAGGGUGAAUGAUUGGGUUGGGUUUGUGGUGGUUGUGGAUCGCAUCAAGAUCCGGGAAAUUUGGGAUCCGACGUGCGAUUGAUUGCGACACCGUACGUCCCUGUCCCGCGCUCCUAUUGUUAAUUCUUGUUCUUGAGGGUAAAUUGCAAUUUGAUCCUCAAACUACGAGGCGUAUAAUACUUUAGUCCUUAUAUUUUUUUAAAUUGUUAUAAUUUAUUGGCUAAAUUUUCUGAAUUGUUCUGAUCAACUCCCACAACUGAAUUUAAUUUGGUUAAAUUAGAUUAUGUGACUUAAUUACAGCAAUAUACAAAGUUCGAGUAAAAAAUUAAGAUAAAUUAAAAUUUGAGAGGAUUUGUAACAUGUACACAAUAAAAUCGAGUGUAUAGACAACAUUUAUAUAUAAUUUAAUUUAUUGGAGGAAAUGUUUUUUUUUUUCGAUAAUACUCUAACGGAUGAAUAAUAAUUUACUCCAAAAAAAUUUGAAAGCAAAAUGAAAUUAUUUUUACUUUUUUAUUUUUUAUUGCCAAAUUAAAAUUCCCUCACUCUUUUACAUCUUUCGAUAUAAUAAACUUUAUUUUUUUAAAAAAACAAUACCAAUUUUGAUUCAAGAAUAAGCAAGAAUGGUUUAUUGUUGGAGUAAGUGCAAUUUUUAAGAUAAAAUAGAAAUAAAAUUAAUUUUGUAUUUGAAUAAAAACCGAAUUAUCCCGAGAACAAAAAAAAAUAAAAUAAUAAUAAAUGGUUAAACAGUAAAAAUCAGAAUAAUAAUUAUUAUAAUUUUAAAAUAAAAAUAUUUUACCAGAGAGAAUUAAUACUAGUGGACCUAUUUGAAAUAAUCCUAAAGUAUAGGAAGAUAAUUAAUGCAAUUUUUAUUUUUUAAUACAAGAAGGACAAGGGGCCAAAGUGAGAGUUGUUAAAGUGCGAAGCCGAUUUUUGUAAUUUGGACAAAUGAAAUAGGGAUCAAUUGCAUACAUCUUUUUAUAAAAAUAUCCAAUUACAGAUAUAUUUCUACGAAGUUCAACUUUUCAUAUUUAUUUCUGAAAAAGUCCUUACGUUUUCGAAUAUACCCCUACUGCUAUGAUUUGUUUGAAAAAUAUAAUUAGCAAAAAAUAAAAUACUUUUUUGAGAGAGAAAUGUAGCACGUUACCUACUUCAUUAAUUAGGUAAAUGAACUUAGCUACAUAGGGUGAGACGGUUAGGGUCUCAAGGAAGACGACAAAACAAAAGAAAAAGGAACAAAAAACUGAGCAUAAAAAAAGCGAAAACAUGCGUCGGAACCAAAAGGUGUAACAAAAGCAACAUCACCCGACUCUACAAAAAUCAGUCCACUCCUUCGUCAGAACUCUAAUGCGAUGAGCACUAGGGAAAACAUUCAGGGGUAGGUUUCGAAAAAUAACGUUAUUACUUUCGCACCAAAUCAUCCACCAGAUGGCCGCCACAAAGGAUUUGAGGCUUCAAAGUGUCAGUCUGUGAUUCCCUCCUUGUCAGCUCUUUCCAGACGAACUUGGCGUCCUCAAUAGGUAAAAUACUUAAUUCUAGUUAGUGAAUGAUGUAAGUUGACUUUUUUACCUUUCUAAUAUUAUUUGUGAUGACAAAAAAUAAAAAGAUAAUUACCAUUAAAGAUUGUUGGGAAGAUAUUUCUGUAUAAUUAUAACAGUUGGCGAGUCUUAAAGUAACAUCUUUGUGAUAAUAAAAAUAUCAUUUUAUUUAUUAUCUUUUAAAAAAUAUACAGCAUUCUAAUGGUAAUAAAUCAGAACGACAAAUAUUAAUAUCACUGAAUUUUUUACAUGCAUAUAUAUAAAAAAUUAAAUUUUGCAAAGGAUAUAUUUGAUAUUCGAUAUAUUUAUUGGGAGCACUGUAAAAUUAAACCUAAUAAAAUAAAAUAAAAUAAAAUAAAAUGAACAUAAAAAUAAAGGGAAAAAGUUAAAGGAGUGUGCAGGGGGGAACGGACCCCAACGUGCACGUCCCCAUUAAAACACGCCGCGGCCGCAUGCGGGGCCCACAAACCGGUACCCGCACCACCGCUCUAUGCGGGCCCCACGUGCUCCCCUCACGUGAUUCCCCUCCGCGAAAUUACGGAUAUGGCCCUACCCUCGCUAUUCUAUAAUUGCACCGUACGACCUCUUAUUCCUUUUUUUAAAUAAUAAUAAAUAAUAAUAAUAAUAAAUUAUUAAAUAAAUGCGGUUCCGUGUCGCCGUGGUAGAUGCAACGGUUCACGUGGACCGUGCCCCUUCCCCCUUGUUUUUCCCAAAAAUUUUUUAAUUAAAAAAAUAUUACCGAAUUUACCAAAAUACCCCUAUAUAUGUUUUUCAGAAUCAAUUUUUACGGUUAAUUGCAUACAGGCCCCUGCAAAGAUAGUGAAUUAUAAAAAUAUCACUAUAAAGUUCAACUUUCACAUAUUGGUCCCUAUAAAAGUCAUUAUAUUUUCAAAUAUGUCCCUGCAGUUAAUUAACCAUAGUUUAACUAAUUAAGGUUUCGUUUGGGAUUGCGGGGAGAUUGCGUUACGUGCGGUGAGAAACGACGAUGAGAAAAUACUCUGUUUGUUUCCGUACGUAUUGUUGCGUUCCGCAUAUCGCGAUGAGUCGGUUACGAUAUAUUUUUCGCGGUCCCACUGGAGAACACAGAAGCAUCUCCCUAUAUGCUUUUUCCUCAACUCCAUUUAUCUAAUAGCAUUAGAUAGAUUUCAAUACCAAAUUAAGCCUAAUUCUGGUUAAUUUUUAACAUUUCUACCCCUCUUAUAUUGUACUGUUAUAGUAUUCGGAGGGAUAUAUUUGUGAUCCCAAAAGGUCAUUUCACUUAUAAAAUAGACGAUGCUUUAAUGCAAACAAACCAGCGGGACAUAUUUGAAAAUAUCAGGACUUUUGCAGGAACAAUGUAUGAAAGUUGAACUUUAUGGGGAUAGUUUUGUUAUUUACUAUGUUUGUAGGGACCUAUGUGAAAUUAAUCCUAAUUUUCAAUAUAUUUUGGACGGCAAUAAAAGAUUGUUUGUCCGGGAAGGGCUUGAGUGUAAUUUUACCACCUUCUAGAUUUAGGUUUUUUGGGUUUUCUUUAUAAAGAGUCCUCCGAUCUCGUCGUACCCGAAGGCGGCAAAAAACCAACGGCUGAGAAACGUUGAAGGAGCCACGGGAGAAAAUCCUGCGCGUCCAAUUAUUUCGACCCGGUGAGAAUAAGAUAACAUUCACCACUCACCACCGACCUCUCACCCUUCUUUUUUUUGACAAUUGCUGAUAUAUCCUUAAAAAAUUUUCAAUUUUCUAAUUUAUCCUUCUUAGAAAAUUACUAUUAAAAAUAAUUUUUUUUACGUUGUAAGUUAUUUUAAAUAUAUCCCUACAGUUAAAUUAAUAACAAUCAUAAUUUCUAUAAAAUUACUAUUUGAUCCUCUCAAAUAUGUAUCUUUUCUUAAUAUAGGAAAAAAAAUAUUUUAAUUUUUUUUCUUUUCAAAGAUACCCUUAAGUUAAGAAAAAAAAAGUAUUUUAAUUUUAAAUUUCAAAUAAAGAAAGGAUAAUUAGAUAUUUUAAAAAUUUAAUGGGUAUAUUAGAUAUUAUACCCUUUUUUUUGAAACAAAAAAAAAAAUAAAGCAUCUAAAAUGCGGUGACCGGAUCGACAACGUAUGGGAAAAGCAAAAGCCGUUCAAAAAAGGAAAGUUCCAAAAAAAAAUAAAAAAUAAAAAAAGGAAUUAAAUAAAUUUUUUAUCCUUUUUUUAAAAAAAAUAGAAAAAAUUAAUAGGGACAGGUUUGGGCGGGGGCAGGGGAGCGUGGGUGGGCCCCGCGCGGAUUAAUAGAUUUAAUAAUAAUAGUAAUUAUUAUUUAAUUAAUUUUUACCCCCUCCCCGCGCCAAAAAAAAGGGUGGUGGUGGUCCCCACGUGGCGGGGAGAUACCGCCACGUGGCGGUGCGGCGGUCCCAACGGUCAAUUCUCCACCGGAUUAGCCGGUGGCUGGGCGCGGGGUUUCCACGUGUCGCGGCCGCUCCGAGUACCACGGCGGUGGAGUUCUAAAAUUUGCCUGAGCCGGGUCUGCGGUGGACCAAGAAUACUGCCGAUGCUACUGGGCCGUUCUCGCUGACGUGGCGCAUCCGGCGUAGAGAGAGCGGGGAAGGCGUUGUUGCUGAGUCAGAGAACAGGUGGAGGGCGGAGAUCGAUCGGCUCGGCUCGGCUCGGCUCGGCAUGUCCUCGGGACGAGCGUCGCGAUCGCGGGAAAAUUUUUGGCGGGGUCACGGGUUUCGAUGCAAGGAGCGAGGCCGAAGAUAAGAAUGGAUACCUAACCCCACGCCUCAUGCCGGUGCAAGCACGCUACACCAGCCACGAACACGAAACAGCGAAGCGAGCAAAUAGUAAUUUGACACGUGUCGUACUAGAAUUAGUAGGAGAGGUGUGUGAGCGCUUGACCUAUUAAACGGACGGAUUGGAUAACCCAUGACGACUAUAAUUAUUUAUUUAUAAAUUUUAGAUAACCAAUAUCUUUAUCCAUAAUGGACAGAUUAGAUAACUCGCAGAUCAGAUGGUUAUGACUAUAAUUUAUCUAUAAAUUUUUGAAUAAUCAACAUUUUUAUCCCUAUCUGACCAUAUGUGGACGGGUACCCGCAAAUUUUUUUCUUCUUUUUUACUCCUGUACUUUCUAAUUACAGCAUAUAUAUAUAUAUAUAUAUAUAUAUAUAUAUAUAUAUAUAUAUAUGAGUUCGGCUACUAUACUUUUAUGAGUAUUGGCUCCGUUAUACUCAUAAGUUUUCAGUCGUUAGAUUUAUUCCAUUAAUCAUUUUCACCCGUUAGAUCAUACUAUUCAACAAAUUACCCACUCAACCCUAGAAAACCACUAUAAUUCUAAGUGGGGACCACCAUCAUCCUAACCACACAUCCCAUCAAUCAACGGUUAAAAAUUUAUGAGUAUAAAGGGGUCUAUACUCAUAAGAGUAUAGUAGCUCUAGCAUAUAUAUAUAUAUAUAUAUAUAUAUAUAGAGCAGGGCUGCUGUGCUCUCAGGAGCACGGAGGCCUCCGUGCUCCUGAGCCGUUUUCGAUGAUGGAAUUUUCGAAUCGACGAUCGGCUCCGUUAGACUUGAUCUAGCACAUUUGAAGUUUCUAGAAAAUAAUUUUUGCGAUUUUUCGAUAUCAUUUACCUAGUGAUCGAAAGGAUUCAAAAUCCAUAAUUUUUAAUGGCUGAUAUCUGCCGUUUUCAAGUUUAACGGUGUAGAAGUAUUCAAAUCAGAUGAAAUUUUGAUAGAAAAUUCUUUAUACUAUCUACAACAAGAUCUAUAUUUCUGAUCGAAAAUUUUAGUGCUAUAUCACCACUUUUUAUAGGAUUUUUAUUUUCAGCCGUUAAAAAUUAUUGAUUUUGAAUCCUUUCGAUUGCUAGGUAAAUGAUAUCGAAAAAUCGCAAAAAUUAUUUUCUAGAAACUUUAAAUACGCUAGAUCAAGUUUAACGGAGCCGAUCGUCGAUUCAAAAACUCCAUCAUCGAAAAUGACUCAGGAGCACGGAGGCCUCCGUGCUCCUGAGAGCACAGCAGCCCUGCUCUAUAUAUAUAUAUAUAUAUAUAUAUAUAUAACUAGACUGAAAUACUAUCAAUAGCAGAGCUUAGUGCUAUCAGUUUUUUAGCUUUUAGGAUUGAGAAAUGUACGAUUAGGAUGAUGUGGGCCCCCUAGUGUUGAGUAGGUGGUUGGUUGAAUAAUAUAAUAUAACGAAUAAAAAUAAUCAGACAGUUAAAUCUAACAAUAAAAAUAAUCAAAGGGUUAUAUCUAACGGUAAAAUAUGCUAUCGAUAGUAUCCCAGCCGGACUCUAUAUAUAUAUAUAUAAUUUUUAGAAACAUAACGUAAUUUUUUGUUUGAAAUAUUAUAGUAUAUAAUAAACAAUAUAAAAUCUUAAAAAUACAUACAUUAUAUCAUGUAUGAGUAUUUUAUCAUUCCAAAUUUAUAUGAUAUAAAAUUAAUAAAAAUUUUAUUAUUAUAGAGUCAAUAUUAUAAAAAUUAUAUAUUUUUAAAAAUAUAAAUGGGAGAAUUCAUGGGUAUUCGCGGGUUGUUCAAAAUACCUAUCACUUAACAAAUACUCAUCUGUUUUAUUUAUAAUUUUUCCGAUAAGAAAAGCUAAUAUUUAUAUAUGUAAAUUUGUGAGUAGUCCGUGGGUACCCGUAUGGAUAGAGAUUGUCAGGUCCAUUGAGUGCUAAGCUAUUGCCUGUUGUCGUGCAGUCGAUGUGGACCUGCCCAUGUACGUUUUACGAUUUAUGGUAGGGAUAACCUUAUACACCUUCCUAUAAAUAUAUUGAAUAGAAAAUAUAUUUUUAUAAAAUUUAAAUUUAUGUUUUAAAAAAUUUAGUGAUGUUUAUAUUUAUUAUUCUGAUUUGUUACAGUUAAAUUAUAAUUUAUUUCUUAACAGAAGAAAAAUAAAAUGCCAAUUAUACAUUAUAAAUAUAUCCCUCCAAAAGUCUGAUGGUUAGAAUUAUGUAGAACUGUGCUCCAAAAAUCUACAAUAAUUAUCUAUUUUUUUAUAAAAUAAUAACUAAUUCAACCCACUAUUAUUGUAAUAUUUUUUCCACCUACUCUCUCACUCCUCCCUUUUUUUUUAUUUUACCUAUCUAUUAUUGCUCCCCGGCACUCGACAUAGGCUAAGUAAUAUUCGUCGUGGAUGAUUCGGAACGAAAAAAACUCUAAUUACAGAUUCGAAACUAGCACGAGAAAGAGGAAGAGGAAGAGGAAGAGGAAGAGCAGAAGUUCCUAUUACUAGAUUUUGAUGCAACGCGGAUUUUGAUCGAUAAGAUUUUGUUUUAGAGGAAAAAGUAUAAUAUUAUAGGGAUAAAAAGUUUAAUUUACCUCACUCGCGGACUAAGAUUAAGUAUUUUAUUUAUGAUUAACUAUGUUUUUUUAACGGACACUAACAACAGGGGUAUAUUUAAAACCGUUCAAACUUUUUGUGCAAUAAAUCUGAAAACUUUAAACUUUGUAGAAAAAUAUCUGCUAUUCGAUAUGUUUACAAUGAGCUGUAUGAAAUUAUCCCUUUAUAUAGUAAAUAGAUUAGAUUUAAGAUAAAAAUAAUAUACAAUUUUUAGUCUCAAUUAUUUUUUUAAUUGAAAAUUAUAUUAAGGAUGGUCAUAUAUUUUGUUAUCAUCUCUAAUAAAUUUAAAAAUUUUAGAAAUUUGACAACUUAGGCUGAAACACCUCACUAAAACAAGUUGAUAUAUCACAUUAAUUAUUUCAUAUCUCAACAUUACCCAAUUUGCCACUUAAAAAAUAUAUAAAUAAUUUAAAUUAAAAAAAAUGUUCUAUUUUGUUAAUAAUACCUAAGUUGAUUGCUUAUUGAACAAUUUUUUUAAUUUAUAUAAUUUUAUCAUAUUACUUAAUAAUAACUUUACCUGUAAAUUUAUUUUUAUGAAGUUUUAUGAUUGAACUUAAUAAUUACUCCAAAUAAAUAAACCUGCUUGAAAACAAAGUGUUAAAGGGUAAUAAUGCAAUAUUUCAUAUAAUUAUUUGCAACUAUGAUUUUAUUAAACUACACAAUUAAAUUAAUUUUCUAUCGGAAGAUCAACUCAUAAAUUAAAUAAUUUGAAAGAUAAAAUAGUGAAAUCAAAAUUUUGAAAUGCUGUGCAGUCCAAUUCAAAUAAAAUUUCUAUACAUUUUUACUAUUAUUUUAAUAUAAUUACAUAUUUUUUUAAAUUUAAUAAAUAUAAUAUUGAAUCUGAAUGUCUGAUCAAAUUUAAUGACUAGUGAAUUAAUUAAAUUUACUAAAAUCAUAUUUGCAAAUUUCAUGAGGCAUAAAAUAAAAAAGUUACUUCUACGUUACUGUAUUAGAUUGGUUUUUUAUGGUAUUUUUAGAUUAACUAUUAUUGUUUUAUAUAUAAUAUUAUCAGUUAUAAAAAAAAAAAAUCAUUUUUACAGUUCCAUUGGCUUGAAAUAGCUGGUGUUAUUACAUGAUUUGAGCGACAUAUAAUUUACAUUAUUAUUAUACAAUAAUUUAUACAACAUAUAGGGUCGUCGAAGAUAGAAAAUUUAGACCUCGUUUGGUUUUUUUUUUUAUUUAUUUUCUUUCAAAUUCAAAUUUAUAUAAGAUAGUAUAGAAGAGUAUUGUAAAUUGUUUGUAGUCUUUUCAUUUAAAGAUAUUUGUUUGUAAGUAAGAAAAAUGUUUAGAAACUCUUUUCUUGUGCUUAGUUAUAAAAGAGCUAUAUUUAUACACAUUUUGCUAUAUUAGAUCUUAUAAACUGAGUUAGGCUCAUUUUGUGUUCAACCUAUUUGUGAUUUUUUAGCUGUUAGAUUGCCUCAAAAUAUGUGCGGCGCUAAUAAAACAAAAAAAAUUAAAAAGACACAAUAUUGAUAAUGCUCCACGAAUAUUGAGUGCGACUCGAUGGUUAAAAUUGCAUACAGAUCAAGCUCGAUCAACUCUGUAAAAUUAAUAUUUAAAAUAGGCUAAAGAUAGAAAAACUUUCAUCAAAAUUUGAUUUUUUAUUUUUCUUUUUAUCAUUUAAAAAAGCUUACACUUUGUCCUCUUAAAAAAUAAAAAAUAUUCGCAAGGGGUACGGGUGUUAACUAUGGUGACAAAAUGACCAAAUUAUUUCUCACCCUUUUCGUCUCCUUCCCAAUUCUGGUCAUUCGCAGCCUCUUCUUCUCUGUUCUUUACGCCUCCCUCGACUUCGGCUCCGACUCCGUUUCUUCUAUCUGCUCCCCCGCUCCUUCUGCAUCCUCGUCGUCCCUCCAUUUCGACAGUGAUAGAGAGGAGAUCGAGAUGGGCGUGGGCCGAGAGAUGAGUGAGCGCGAGGGCAAGGCAGUUGAGGGCGAGGACGGUACGGCAGAGGAGGGCGAGGCGGUGCAGUCGAGGACGUCGGUGAUCAAAAGGGAGGGGACGAAUCUGAGAUGAGAAUUACAAAAAUAUUUUGGAUAUAAAAAAAUAUAAUAAUAUAAUAUAAACGGAACUCUAACAGAACAUCGAUAGCGAAAACCAAAGUGAAUAUUUUUUAUUUUUUUAAAAAAAAAUAUAAAUUUUUAAAUGACGAAAAGACAAAGUUAAAACGCAGGUAUCCACAGAAUUUUUUUUUUUUUAAUUUAGUUUUUAAACUACAAAGAAAAGACAAAAAUGUCAGAUGGUAAGUUCUAGUUAUUCCUAAUUCAUUUUUCGAUAGUCUUUGUUUGCCGCUACCAAGCACACGCAGAAUUUGAAUAAGUCAAGCGAAACAACCACUCACAUAUGAAAACAAAAAUCUCCCUCUCCACUCUCAUUAUUUUCAAUGUGAUUUUUUUUUCUAUUUUCCUUGGGUGUCCAUAAUUGACUUGGUGGAAAAAAAAAAAAGAAAAAAAAAAGAAAAAGAAAAAGCAUUGAUUAAUCCACAUGAAAAUGACACAAAAUUAAAGUUGGGUCUAGAUUUUGAAAUUAAAAAAAAAAAAAAAUUAUAUAGGUUCCUUCAGAUAUAGUGAAUUAUAAAUAGACUGGGGCUACUAUACUUUUAUGAGUAUAGACCUCCUUGUACUCAUAAAUUUUUAACCGUUGAUUGAUAGAAUGUGUGGUUAGGAUGAUGGAGGUCCUAACUUAGAAUGAUAGUGGUCCCGUAGGGUUCAGUGGGUUGUUGGUUUAAUAGUAAUAUGAUCUAACGGAUGGAAAUGAUCAAUGAAAUAAAUCUAAGGGCCAAAAACUUAUGAGUAUAAAGGUGCCAAUACUCAUAAAAGUAUAGCAGCCGAACUCUUACAAAUAUAUUCCUAUAAAACUCAACUUUUAUACAUUUUUUUCUAUAAAAGUCUAAUGUUUUCAAAUAUGUCCUCUGAUUUAUUACCGUUAAAACACCGAUUAUUUUAUAGAUGAAAUGAUCGUUUUGCCGUGACAAAUUGGUCUUACCAAAAAUCUCAAUUAUUAAUUGAAGAGGGAUAAAAAUGUCGAUUCACCUCAUUAACUAACCCGAGUUAAAUAUUUUACCUAUGUUGUUUAACUAUUUUUUUUCUUACGGAUCCUAACGGUAGAAACAUAUUUAAAAAUAUUAAAAUUUUUAUAGAGACAGUAUAUAAAAGUUGAACUUUAUAGAAAUGUAUUUGUAAUUCACUAUAUUUGUAGUGACCCAUAUGCAAUUAACAUUUUAAAAAAUAGCCUCUUGGGGUACGCUUAAUCAGGAUGUUGAUCAAAUAUUCAUUUACAAAUAUUCUUCUAAACUUUUGAAAAUUAUAUAUUUGUCACACAAACUUUUGAUUUUUUUUCUUUUUUUUUUUGUAAUUAAUCACUAUAGAUUGUAUUCUAUUAAUAAUUUGAAUUGACUAAGUUCAGGAACUAAGUAACAGUACAAGGAUAGUAGAGAGGCCAUCUAUAUAUUUUUUAAAAAAUACAACAUGUAUAGGGGUAUUAAACGUUUAAAAAAAUAAACUUCAAAUAUCACCCUAGUAGUUUCGCAUUUUCUCACUUUAGUGCCCUAUGAUUUAAAGCGUAUCAAUUUUGUACCCUAUAGUUUCAUUUUUUUCUCUUCGCAAGUCCCCCCGUUAACUUUUCGUUAAAUCAUAUACACAAAAUUUCAGAUACCCCACCUACGAUUUAUCGAAUAUUCACCUUUGUACCUUUUAGUUUUAACUUGGUCACCGAUUUAACAAAAAAAUUAGUAGAGGAGAUAAUGAAAAAAACAAAAUAAAAUCACUAGGUACGAAAGUGAUACAUUUUAAAUCAUAGAAUAUUUAAGUGAGAAAAUGUGAAACCACAGAUGUGGUAUUUGAAAUUUUUUCUUAAAUUUUUUUUUUUUUUUGAAUCAGCGACAAAAUUAAACUAAAAGGUACUAAAAUGAAUAUUCGAUAAACUAUAGGUGUGUGUCUGAAGUUUUUAAAAAUGAUUUAGCGAAAGGUUAACAGAGGGGUUGACGAAAAGGGAAAAAUAAAACUCAGGAUACUAAAUUAAGCCGCAGAUUACUAAAGUGAGAAAGUGUGAAAUAACAUGAGCGAUAUUUAAAGUUUAUUCGAAUUUAAAACAAAAGACAAGAGAACAUUGUAUGGUCAAUCAAUGUACAUGAGUCAGGUCAAUAGACCUAAAAUUUGUCCCCACCAACUAAAUUGAUCAAAUUUUAUUGGGAGACAGAGUAAAGAAAUAUCCCUAUCCACCGCAUUAAAUAAUGAGUGACAUGGCGAUACCUACUAUUCCUAUUGAAAUGUCACCAUUACCAUUUUCAUACGGCUUAUAUAUUUCAUUCUAGAAUUUACAAAAAAAAAAAAAAAAAAUUAAAUAUGAAAAAAAUUAAUAUGAUUGGUUAAAAAAAGUGAUUUUUAGAUAUUUUACAAAUUAAGUGUAGAGAUAACAUAACUUUUUAGUUGAAUAGAACCACUCAUUUUGUCCCUCUUUAUAUCUCCUUGUUGUUGAUGAUUAUAAAAAUAUUCUUCAUCAUUAUUAGGAUUUUUAUCUCUAUGAUCAACAUAGUUAGUGCCAUCUAAUAUAAAAUCCAAGGGAAAAUUAACUUGGAAAAGACCCCAAUCUCUUAGAUAACAUUAUGAGCAGGUUAGGUUCGAAUUAUGCAGUAUUAUUAUAAGGAAUAAUUGUCUAUAUACCCCUUCAUUAUUCUAAAAUAUUUCUGCGGUUAUCAUCCGUUAAGUUAACUUAGAUUAAACGUGAAUUAAAUAUCUGCCAGAGUUAAAAAAUAUUAAUGAUGGUAGAAGGAUAUAUUUGAAAAGACCAAAAAUCAAAAUAUUUUUAUGUUCCAACUUAAGAGCAAAUAAAAAAUAUUGGUUAUGACAUAAUGGUAUAUUGAAAGAGCAAAAUAAUAAUUUCAUAAAUAUAACAUUUGUUGCUAACAGUUUAUUAACAGAAUUUAACUCUAUGGAUAUAUUUGAAAUAGAUUGGAACGUAAUAAAAGUAUUUUCAAUAUUAGUUUUUUUAAGAAAGGUAAAUUAAAAAGUCAAAAAUUUUUCUGGUAUAUAACCAAUUGCCCCUAUUAUUAAUUAGGGAUAAUUGCCUAUAUAUCCUUCAUACGUUUGAAAAUAUCCGAUUUACCCAUACUCUUUUUUUUUUUUUCUUUCUAAAAUACCCCUCAUAUGUUCCACCGUUAUUGCAAAAUACCCCGCAGUUAUCUCCUAUUAAGUUAACCUGGGUUAAACGUGAGUUAAAUAUCUACCACAGUUAAAAAAAAAUAAAAUGCCAAUUUUGUCCUUAACUUAAGGGCAAAUAAGAAAUGUUGGUGAUUGUAGAGGGGUAUAUUGGAAAAGGCCAAAAGUCAAAAUACUUUUUGUGCCUCUGACUUUAAGGGCAAAUAAGAAAGACGGUGAUGGUAGAAGGGUAUAUUUAAAAGGGCAAAAUAGUAAUUUUACAGAGAUAACAAAGUUACUUAACAGAUUUUAACUCUAAGAAUAUAUUAGAAAUAUGUUGGAACGUAGGAGGAGUAUUUUCAAUAUUAGCGUUCUAAGAGAGGUAAAUUGGAAAGUCGGAAAUUUUUCAGGAGUAUAUAAGCAAUUGCCCCUUAAUUAGCUUUUAAUUAUUACUAUUAAUACUUACAUUCAAAAUAGUGACUCGAUUUAUAUAUUUCAGUAAAUCUGACAGUAAAAUCUUAUUAUUUCAAAUAUAUAUUCUAUGGACAAUAAUAAAUUAUUUUAUACAGUAAAUUUUAGAACGACUUGAAUUAUUUUAUAACAAUUCUAUUUAUAAGCCAACCGUAUGCUUUAAACGAGUCUCGUAGUUUAAGAAAACUACUGCUAGCACAGUUGAUAAUAAUAUGCUAACUAUUUUUCUGCGUAAGAAUCAAGUUAUACUAUUUUAUUAGAAUUCCAAAAUGAGGUGGGGGUGGUAGUAGAAUCAUAAUCUAAAUAAAUAGAUUUGGUAAUUUAAUUACUUGUGCAAUUCCCAAUUUUUUUUUUUUAAUUUUUUUUUUUUUACCAAUUCCUCCUCUAACGGUCAAAAAAAGGCGAACCCACGCGCCCCGUGAUUGACUCCGACCCAAAAAACAAAAGAAAAUAAAAAAAGAGCCGUUGAAAAGUCAGAAUUUAAAAUCCCCCAACCCCCACGAAACCCUACCCACCGUUCACUCCGAUCCGCGCCGAUCCGCGCCGAUCCGAGCCGAGGGGCGGGCUACGGACGCCAAAGGCCGGACUCCAAACCCCGGUUUAUGGCGGACUCCAAAUCCCGAGAAUUAAUCGGGUUGAAUAAGAAAAGCGACGCGCCCGUGACGGAUGGCCCCAGAAUCCCCAUCCGCCCCACUUUACCUUUUCCUCACCCCUCCCACAUUUUUUUUUUUAAAUAAUUAAUAAUUAAUAAUAAUAAUAAUAAUAAUUAAUAAUUAAUAAUUAAUAACAAAUAAUCAUUAGUUUAUUUUUUUGUAUUAAAUUAUUAUUAUUAUUUUUCGGUUUCCGAAAUUGCCCCUCGGAAAGAUCCCCCGCCCCUCCCCACUACGCCCUCACUACUUUUUCGCUCUUCCCAUAAUACACCUCACCACCGUACACUUCGCUCUUGUUGUUAAUAUUAUUAUUACUAUUAUUAUUCGCAACUUGUGCCUUUUCCUACUAUACCCUCUUCAAACAAACGCUUCUCUCUCCUCCUUCUCCCUCCCUCCCUCUUUCUCUCUCUCUCUAGCAUCUGAGAGAGUCUCUAAUGGCGGAUUCGGGAAACCCUAAGAGGGCGAGGGGGGAGGAGGAGGAUGAGGAAGGGGAGAGAGGGGAGGCGAAGAGGCUCAGGGCGGAGGAGCUCCUCGAGAUCCUCGACGGCGACGACGCCGCCGCGGCGGAGGAGCUCGCGUCCGUGAUGCGGAGCUUCGAGGAGGAGAUCGCGGCGGCUUCGCCCCCGCCGCCGCGAUCGGCGGCGGCGGAGGUUGCCGGAGAUGGGAGGGAGAUGGAUCUGGGGUACCUGUUGGAGGCCUCCGACGACGAGCUCGGCCUCCCUCCGACGACGACGACCACCACCACCACCACCACCACCACCACCGCCUCAACGGUGACGACGACGACCGUGACGGAGGAUUCUGAGGCGGCGGCGGCGGAGGAGGAUGGGGGAGUAGGGUCGGGGGGAUUAGGGUUAGGGUUAGGGUUUGGGGAGAUGUGGGGAUUCGAGGACGAGAUCGGGGGGUGCUACGAGGGCUUCGGGUUCGGGAUGAGCGACGCGGCGGAGGAGGCGCCGGAGCACCACGCCGGCGGGGGCGGCGGCGGCGGCGGCGGGGUGGUGGUUUUAGGGUUUGAUGGGGGGCUCUUCGAUUACUCCGACGUGGUCUGUGGACCGUCCGAUCUCGCCGAUCUCUCCUGGCGAUCGGAGUCGCUCCCCGCCGUCUGAUCCCGAAUCAACGGCCCUCUUACUUUCUCUCUCUUUCUAUUUUCCUUUUAUUUUUUUUUUCCCCUUAAAAGAAAAGUGACUUUGUAAAGCUUUUUUAGACAAGGAAAAAAACGACAGGAGCAAAAAAUGGAUAAAAUUGGAAAAAAUAUAUAUAUAUAUAUCUAUAAUUAUUAUGGACCGUUUGAUGAGGAUCGUCCGAUGGUGGAUGAUUGGGCCAGGUAAUUAUUAAUAUUAAUAAUUUAUUUUUAAAAAAUUUUGGGCUGCGGAAAAUGAUCUGGACCGUAGAGGACGCGUUGGACGGACGUGAUUUAAUGCGCGGGGUAUAACGUAAAAAGGGAGUUGCGUCUCUCGCGCUCCAAGGCAUCUUUUUGACGUGUACGUGAUUUUGCGGGAUAAUAUCACGUGAAUAAAUAAUUUAUUAUUUUCUAAUAAUCAAAGAGUAAAAUAAAUAAAAAUUAGUAUUCCAAAACAAAAUCUCGUAACGUAAAAAGAGGAAUUUAAAUUUAUCUCUUAUUAUGGAGUUUAAAUUUUAGAUUCCCAUGGACGUAUGGUAAAAAAAAAAGGGUGAAUUUUUAAAGAAACGAAGGAAAAUUGAGCUAAAAUUAGGAACAAAAAGUUAGAAUAAUUUAUAGGAAAAUGUAAAAAGAUGCGAUUUUAUGUUAUGGUGUAUUCACUUAUUUAAUAAUAUUUGAUUUCGGGGGGCGACUUUAGUUUAUAGAAUUUAAAAAUAUUUAAUUUUUGAUAUCACUUGUUUGUUGAUUAAAAGAUCUCGAAAUUUAUAAUUUUAAUUAAUAUGAAGUGUUUGUAAAUUUGAUCAUGUUGAGAUAUUAAAAUAAAAAAAAAAUUUCUGCCCUGUAUUUGGAGUAAGAAUUUUCAUAUUAUUUAUUUAGUGGUUUAAGAGUUAAAAAGUGUUUGUUUUUUAUUUUUUAAAAUUUUCUCUAUUAAAAGGUGUAAGAGAAAACAUAAAAUUUUUUGUAAUGUUUUUCAUUUAAAGUGUUUAUAAUUCGUUGAUCAAAUAUUAAUUUAUUGCUACUGUGGAAGUCAUGUGGCGAUUGAUGAUUCGUCAAUAAUUAUCAACGGUAUAUCAAAAUUAAAUUUUAUUGUGCGACUUUGGUUAUAAUAACUAUGAAAGUUCAAGUUAAAAAUUACAGUAAAACGUAAUUUGACGAUAAAAGUGUUACCCUUUUUGCAAUUUAUCCUUUAUUAAGCUAGUUGAUAUUUAUCAUUUAGCCCAUUGCAUUGUUAGCUACCCAAUUACAACAAUAAAAGAAAAGUUUUUUCUUCAAUACAUUAAUUCGGUUACAAAAAAAAAAUUAUAAAAUUUAAAUCUUAGAAAUUUUAUAUACACUAAAUUAAUUUUAACGCCUGCAUUAUUAAUUUAGAAGCUCUAUUAUUGAAAACAAAUAAAAAUGACAGACACCCGAUUGCAUCUUUAAACAGUACAAAUUUUACUUUUAGUAAACCUUUUUAUAAAUUUUGAGGUAGCACAAUAUUUUAUUCUACAUCACUGUUGCUUUUUUGUUCAUUCAACGAAAUUACUUUAACGCCCCAACUUUUCACGAGCAUGCUUAACUCUCUUAACCUCGUGGGUCUAGCCAAAUUUUCAAACAGGGUUAAAAGUAUUAGCCAUAUUAUAUUUUACAUAUAUAUAUAUAUAUAUAUAUAGGACUAUAUAGGGUCUCACAUUCUCCACCCUAUAUAGUCCUAUAUAUAUAUAUAGGACUAUAUAGGGUCUCACGUCCUCUUCAGACUCAAACUCAUAAGUAUCAGACAAUUUGACUCGUUUCGCUAACCUAAACUGAUCUUGUGGGAGAGCCACGUUAUACCCACAACAGUCAACAGUAUGAGAAUCUCGCUCUUCCCACUGUAUAACCCUGAUUCAGCCGAGACUCAUCUCAUACUUCUGACUGGUAUUUAGCUCUGAUAUUAAAUAUGACGCCCCAACAUCCUAGAGGGUCAUCUAUCCUAGGACUAUUCCCGUCCUAAUAUGCUUAACUCUCUUAAUUUCUUGAGCCUAGCCACCGCUCAAAAUGUUUAAGCCGGGUUAAGACUAUUAACCCUAUUAUAUCAUAUAUAUAUAUAUAGAAUUAGGCUACUAUACUAUCUAUAGUAUCGGAGCUCCGAUACUAUAGUCUUGUUUUCGAUGUUAGGGCGUUCAAAUUAAUGAUCCAUACCGUUAAAUAUGAUCUAGGGUGUAUGAAAUUCUUAGGAAUAAAAUUUUAGCUUUUUUCGAUAUCGUUUACUUAGUAAAUAAAUUAUGUCAAAAUAGAUGGUGGAAAUUGAAUAUUCUUUAAAAUUUGAGUAUAGGACUUUUAAAUUCAAGAUCAAGAAUGUUAACCUUAAUCUAGAUAGUUUAAAGUAUUUUCUAUCAAAAUUUGAGGAAAUUUAAAUUCUUCUACACUGUUAAACUUCAAACUCGCCAUAGUAGCCAUUAAAAAUUAAUAAUUUUGAAAUGAUUUGAUCAUAAAGUAAACUAUGUCGAAAAAAUAUAAAAUUUUAUUUUUAAAAUCUUUAAAUAUCCUAGAUCAGUUUUAAAUGUGUGGAUGGUUGAUUUGAACACCCUAAGAUUGAAAACGAGACUAUAGUACUGGAGUCCCGGUAAUAUAGAUAGUAUAGGAGACUAGCUCUCUCUCUCUCUCUCUCCUUCUCCGUCUCUUUCUUUCUCUCUCUUCUCUUCUCUACUAUUUAUAUACUCUAUAUAUAUAUAUAUGUUAGAGCAGAUGGUUGUUGUGCUCUCAGGAGCAUGGAGCCUCCGGGUCUCUGAUAGCCAGUUUUUCGAUAGAUGGAGUUAUCGUAUCGACGAUCAGUCCGUUAAACUUGAUCUAGUAUUUGAAGUUUCUAGAAAAUAAUUUUGCGAUUUUUCGAUAUCAUUUCAUAGCAAUCGAAAUGAUUCAAAUCAAUAAUUUUUAACGGCUGAAAAUAAAAAUUCUAUAAAAAAUGGUGAAUAAUAGCAUUAAAUUUCGAUCAGAAAUAUUGAUCUUGUUGUAGAUAGUAUAAAGAAUUUUGUAUCAAAAUUUCAUCUGAUUUGAUACUUCUACACCGCUUAAACUUAUUAAACGGUAGAAUCAAUAUAUAAAAUUAUUGAUUUUGAAUCCUUCGAUCACUAGGUAAAUGUAUUUCAAAUCUCAAAAAAUUAUUUUCUAGAACUUCAAAUGCCUAGAUCAAGUCUAACGGAGGUGGGGGCGAUCGUCGAUUCGAAAAUUCCACCAUGAAAACGGCUCAGGAGCACGAGGCCUCCGUGCUCCUAGAGAGCACAGCACCCUACUUUAUAUAUAUAUAUAUUAUAUAUAAUAUAUAUAUAUAUAAUAUAUAAAGAGAGAGAGGAGAGACUGAUGAGAGAGUGAGAGAGGAGAGAGAGAGAGAGAGGAUGAGAGAGAGAGAGAUGAGAGUUGGAUGGCUACUAUUAGUAGCAAAAUUCUAUUAUUGUACCAGUUUUUUAGCUUUGGAUCAACUAUUUCAUUAUUUCUAACCAUUGGAUUAAAUACUAUAACCCAGUGGGGACCACUCAACCCUAGGGGGACCACUCAACUCUAACCGACUAAUAUCAUUCUGACCCUACAAUUUUUCAUCUAAGGGUUAAAAACUUGAUAGCAAAAAGAGCGUUUUACUAUUAAUAGUAUUCUAGCCUAAUUCUAUAUAUAUAUAUAUAUAUAUAUAUAUAUAUAUAU
rnacentral:lncRNA from 1 species